rnacentral:lncRNA from 1 species
CUAAUAAGAAAAUAAGAUGAGAUUUCUAUUCAUCUUAAUGUUUCUUAUUAUUAUAUAUGCGCCUUUGUUUAGAGGAUUCUAUGUCUAAUUAUUUAAAAAAUUGGAUUGAUUGAUACGAGUUGAUUUCCUGUUACGAUGGAUGGAAGAAAGAAUGGAUAGUCCAAUAGCUGCUUCAGCAGCCGCAAGGGCUAUAACAAAAAUUGCGAAAAUGUCUCCUUUUAAUUGGCGACUAUCAAAUAGAUCAGAAAAUGUUACGAGAUUUAGAUUAAUUGAAUUCAGUAUAAGUUCAAGACAUAUUAGAGCUCUAACCAUGUUUCGGCUUGUGAUCAAUCCAUAGAUACCAAUCGAAAAUAAAUAGACACUCAAAAAAAGUACAUGCUCAAACAUCAUUAACUAACUCCUUAUCAAUCUCAGAUUCAUUUCAAUAUGAGGACAAGAAUUGAACCGAUUCAAUUAAUUAGAAUAGAACAAUUACACAACAAAUACCUUCUUUUCUCUUUUGUUGUGUUGGCAGUAGAUGGGUUUUACUAAAUCAAAAUUGUGAAAAAGAGUCCAAUAUUUUUUCUAUCAGAAUUUUUUCACUCCGGUAUGCUUGUAUAUUUUCUUUUCCUAUUCCAGUCCGAGUUCUAUUCUAGUCCAAGUUGUCCUCCAGUCUGCCCUAUUCGAAUCAACCUAAGUAUCAUUCUUGGAGCAACAUAUAUAAAAGAAAAAUCCUAGAAAGAAAAAAAAAGGGAGAGUGUAAGAGGGAUGAAUUGGAAUUUCAUAUAUAAACGAGGCCUAAUACAAUGAAAGAGCAACUUGGAAUUUCAUAGAACAAAAAACAUUCUAGUUUCUUCAAAAACAAGGUUGCAUUAAUGUAUGAUUACCUUUUUGUUUUCUUAUUUUGCAGAUCCGAUGAACAUUCUAAAAAAACAAAGAAAUCACGAUAAAAAACAGAAACAUAUUUAUGCUCAGAAACAAGGAUUGGGAUAAUACUUUAGAUUGUUUGGUUUGUGGUGUACCUCAAAAACAUUUUGGUGGUAGAAUUGGCCAUCUCAAACUUGAGAACAUUCAGUCCACCACUCUCCAUCUUAAAUACCUACAGAUACCAAUAACCAAACUAGACAUAUCAGUAAACAUUUUGGGAUUAAACGGAUGCAGGAUCUAGAUACAAAUCACACUCAAAGCAUAAAGAAAGGAUGAGCACAUACCUGCUUGGUAUAGGUGUUGUCGGCAAUGUAGCAGAAAUCGUCCAUGUUUGGUGUCAGUUCCAAUUUGACCCAUCACAUAAAAAAUGGAACUCAAUUUCUUUAACUAAUCAAAGGAACAUGGAUGCCAGAUUAAUGGAUGUGUUGGGGGGCAUGGCGGGGCUUGGUCAGCACCUCUGUGGUAGGAGCUGUUCUUGUAGACAUGAAGGGCGCAGAUAGCAGCAGGUCAUCCUCAUCAUUGACAGUAACAGAGGUAAGCGACGGCUUAGGUCAGGUAGCCAUGUAGUAUCAUACUGGUAGCAUUCGCCAAUGGUUGUAGACUGGAGAUGUUUUUUUUUUAUAAUUUCAUUUAUUGAGCAGAAGUUUUGAAAUACUUGUUACAAUGUCUACUAGUGUUAAGAAUAAAAUAGUCACAUCUAUUUACUAAUGACAUCAUAUGGUGGAUACAUGUUACUGUGAUUGUACUAUGGGUGCUCUCCAUAAGAGAGGACAAAAUAAACAUGUCAAGCCAACAAGCACUACAGAUCUACACUGCAAAAUAUACAUACAUCAUAAACUAGAUCAAUGAAAACAGAUCUACAGGAAACAUACAUCACAAAAUGAAUAUAGGCAACAUGCUUUGUUGUAAAUCUGAUUAGCUUCAACAAUCAACAUAAAUCAGCCGGAAAUAAUCUUUGACUCAAUCAUGCUCAUUCAGUGUUGCAAUGAGAUUACAAAUUCUAACAACAGGGUAACUAGGACAGUGUUAAAAAGUAUUUUCAGCAGAAAAAAAAAGCAAAUAGGAGCAGAAUUUUGUGAGCCAGUUUCCUCGUGAAAUGCAACGCAAAUUAUCCUUAACAUGCGAGACUCUUCCUUAUGUUCUAUUGACAAUCACAACAAAUCAAAAUUUUGUGAACACAGCUUACUGAAAAAAGUAUCAGUUCUUAAAAAAGUAUCAGUUCUUACUUCCGUACGUAAUUCGGCUGCGGCGUGGGUCGGGUUCGAUAGUAGUGGGCCUUAUGGGCCGGAUUCUGUUAUCAGACACUGUUAGUUAGGCCCAGACAGAACAACUUGGGCUGGCCGGGCUGAAGGGAACGUGGAGGUCAGAUCGUCAGGUUUUUAUUUAUUUAUUUUUUUUGCUAAAGAAGAAAGAUCUUUAGGAUUUGAUUUGGAGAAAAUUAUUUCCUUUGGCCCUAAAAAAGUGUUUUUUUUCUCAAACUUCUUUAUUUGAUCCUAAAACUUAUUUCCUUCGGUCUCUUAGCCCUUUUGGUGUUAAGUUGUACGCGGAAUAACUCUUUCACCCUCGUCGCCGAAGGCUCACAGAUCUUUCAAGCUGUCUCUUCUGUGAAAUAAUUUCCUAAACUAAGGUACAAUAUUUUUUUGAAGCAUGGCAUCAUUAUUUUUUCAAUAAUUAUUUUUUUUUCAAGCCAGGGGUCCCGGUGAUGUUGGGCCUAUGAGAUGUUGGGCCGUGUUAGCCGGCAACUCUGGUACAAAUACACAAAAUGCGCUUUUUUGUCUAAUAAAUAUGCCACAUCGCCAAGUGAAGAGAAGAUGCGUCUCCUCACAUCAUACAUAAUAAUACAACAUGUUCGUGAAUAUCCAAUCCAAAAGCAAAAGCAAAUUGUGUUCAGUGGAGCUCGGGACACGGAAAUAUUUUUUUUCUGCUAGUUAUUUGUUUUAUUUUGAAUAUAAAAAUCUUAAAUUAAAUAAAUUAAAUUAAGUUAAGUUUUAAACCACUGGUUGAUUGUUUUUCUUUUCAGCCAAAAAAAAAAUUAUGGGCAGACUAACAGUUUAUUGGGCCAAGAUGAAAAACUAAGCAAGGCAUGCAAAAAGCAACCGCAAGAAUCUAGACAAUAUAUACUGACAAUACGAACUAACCAAGUACGCAUAGAUAUACGUGCACAUACAAUAAGAGCGGAUCCACAUACGAUAAGAGCAGUCCACUAAUGAGUAGGAAACGUAACAUGCACUAAUAUAGGAACCAACAACAGCAACUAGCAGUCCACUACUCAGCAAGCCUCACUAAUAUAGUAAUAUAUAUACUACUAGUCCACUCGAUCUACUACUCAGCAAGCCUAUGUACAUACGACUGGAUGCUGGAGAUAUACUAUGUACAAACUGCAUGCUGAUAUACUAGUAGUCCACACUACUCAGCAAAGGCAUAUAUACUACCAGAGCAAAUAUAUAAGGAGGGCCGAGUAUAGAAGAUAUGCAUGAAGAUUACACUUGGCUUAAGUUCCAUCACUUAAAAAUAACUAACUUUGCAUGUACUCUUAAAGAAAAUUUCAGGAGUUAGGGGGGGCCAUGGCCCCUGCUAGCCCCCUGGUUCCGUCACUGCCCACGUCCAGGGCUGCCCCCUCCACCACGUCCUGCGGCAGCCCCUUGUAGGGACGAAGGAGAGGCCAGCAGCAGGAGGAGCUCGUAGAGGUCCUGCAUCGUCCACUCCAGCUCCUGCAGUGUGGCAGAUCGAGACCAGCAGCUAAUCAGAUCAGAGGAAAAGUUCGUUUGAGCAUGGAUUGAAAACCCUAGACGAGCCGAUCAAGAUGAUGAAAAGUUGCCCUAACCCAAAACACGGAUCGAAAAGUUCCCAGACGAUCGAGCAGAUGAAAAAGAAGUCCUAGAGGAGAGGAGCCCUAAUCCGGAUUGAAAACCCCAAACCACGAUGAGCAAGUUGAGCAAAUCCCUUCCCCAAAUCAGAAACCCCAAACCACGACGAUCGAGUAAGUUCCCAGACAAUCGAUACCUCCCAAACCAGAAAGCAGAUCAGACCCAACGAGAAAGCAGGCGAGAAAACCUCAACGUCGUCGUCGUCGCCGUGGCCCAGCGCGACGCCGCCGCCGCAACAUCGACGUCGUCGCCGUCGUCUCCGACUCUCCGUGGCCCGCCGCGACGCCGUUUGAAAGCCCUAGUUUGGUUUUGGAUAAUUGAUGAAACCCUAGUACUAACCUCUAUACUAAGUGUGUGUAGACUUAAUGAGGUUGGUACAUACCAUGUGAUGGAGCAAGUAAUGAUCAUGGUGAUGAUGGUGAUGACCACAAGAUGAUCAAGUGCUCAACUUGGAAAAGAAGAAAGAGAAAAACAAAACCCUUUGGAGAUCAAGGCAAAGGUAUUGCUUAGGGUUUUGGUUUUGGUGAUCAAGACACCAUAGAGGGUGUGAUCACAUUUAGGAUAGAUAGCCGUACUAUAAAGAGGGGAAUUCUUUGGCUAAGCGGUUAUCAAGUGCCACUAGGUGUCAUUGUUCAUGUGCAUGCAUUUAGAACCUAGUGAGCUAACUUAACUCCUUCAAAGAAAAUGAUUGUGAAAAUGCUAACACACGUGCACGCUCGUUUGGUACACACGUUGUGGUGUUGGCACACUUUGAUAAGGAGGUGGAGUUUCAAGAGUAGAGAGGGGAUGGGUUCCUCUCUCCCUCCCGCCGAGCUUGCGAGGCGGGAUUCGGCGCUUUUCGAGAAAAUGAAGUGCAUAUUUUCUAUUGCGCCGGUGGGAAAUUUGGAGAAGUCGCGGGAGUGUUUCUCGCUGAGAAAACACUCACCGGACGCUGGCUCAGAGGCACCGGACGCUGUGUCUGAGCGUCCGGUGUGCAGGCUGCCUGACUCGGUUAGGGUUAGGCACCGGACGAUAGGCACCGGACGCUGGCUUGAGCGUCCGGUGGUUAGCGUCCGGUGUGCGGGCGUUUUGCGACCCUCUCUGCGCAUGGGUCCGGUGAGCACCGGACGCUGAGGGUGCGUCCGGUGGCUCGCGUCCGGUGAACAUGCAAGUUUGCGGAGCUCUCUGCGCAUGAGUCCGGUGUGCACCGGACCGUCCGGUGCUCACUUGCUCAGCGUCCGGUGCAUUGCAGGUGACCGUUAGAUUCUGACACGAGCGUGACACGUGGCUGACGUUGGAGCACCGGACGCUGGUGUUGAGCGUCCGGUGCCCCUUUAAGAGCGUCCGGUGACCCCGUAUUUCGCCCAGUGAAAGAGCCAACGGCUCUAUUUGUUUGAGGGGCUAUAAAUACGUGUUUGGCUGGCUUGGGGCCAAAAAAAACCCUUGGCAUUCUAGCAUACUUGACAUCCUUGUGAGCCUAAGCAAACACCUCCCACUCAUCUCCUUCAUAGAUUAAACAUCUUUGUGAGAUUGGGAGUGAUUCCAAGUGCAUUUGCUUGAGUGAUUGCAUCUAGUGGCACUUGGGGAUCGUUCAAGCUGCGGUUUUCUUGUUACUCUUGGUGGUUGCCGCCACCUAGACGGCUUGGAGCAGCGGAGGAGCAUUGGCACGAGUUGGUGAUUGUUCGUGGCCAUCUCCCGGUGAUUGUGAGGGGUCUUGUACCUUCCCCGGCGGAGAGCCGAAAGGUAACUCUAGUGGAUUGCUCGUGUCAUUGAGUUACCUCACUUGUGGGUAGGUUCUUGUGGUGUCCUAGUGAGGACGAGGUUCGUGCUACACCUCUUAGCCACCGAACCACCAAGUGUUGGUCGACACAACGGGGACGUAGCGUGCCGGCAAGCACGUGAACCUCGGGAGAAAAAUUGUGUGUCUCCAUUGUGAUUGUUCAUUGGAUUUCUUCCGGUGAUUGGACUUCAUAUUAUUGAUUGGUUCAUCCCCCCUGCGCGGCGGUAUAAAGUUCAAACCAUCUCUUUUACAUUCCCGCAAACUAGAGUAGCUUACUUACUUGUAUAGAAACUUUAGGUAGCUUUCUAGUGUAAGUAGUGACAUAGCUCUUGUGUGCCUAGUGAUUAUAUCAACUAGAAUUGUUGGAUAGGUGGCUUGCAAACACCCCAUUAGAGCUAGAGCAAAAAGCUUCGCUUUGUUAUUUACUAACCUCUUGCUCUAGUGGGUUUGUAGAAUUUUUAAUAGGCUAUUCACCCCCCCUCUAGCCAUAUUAGGACCUUUCACCGUUCCCUCCGUGGCCCAGUGCGACGCCGCCGCCGCCGCUGCCAACCUCGACGUCGUCCUCUCCGUGGUGCCCUCCGUGGCCCAGCGCGCCGCCGCCGCCAACCUCGACGUCGUCGUCUCCGUGGCCCGGCGCGACGGCGCCGCCGUGCCCUCCGUGGCCCAGCCCGCCGCCGCCAGCCGCCGCCAUGUAGUGUGCGGCCGCGGCGAGGUGGAGGUGCGCUGAGGCAGCGGCGAGGUGGCGGCGCUCGCGCUCCAUAUGGCCUUUCACUCUUUGCUAGGGACGAAGCCAAAAAAAAUUGUAGGAGGGGCUGAACAAAAUUGCUACAUCGACUUAACUUUUUACUAUAACCCCUCACAAUAGAAAAAAUAUAUAUUAGCUUUAAGUAGUCUUAUAUUAAUUUAUAAAAUAUAUCUAAAAAUAAAGUCUCAGCCCAUCCUUCUUUAUAAAUUUGUGUCUAAAAUUAGAAGCAAAAAUAUUAUGAGCUCCACUAAAUCAGCAUCGGUAGGGGGGGCUAGAGCCCCCUAGCCCCACCGCUAGCUUCGUCCAUACUCUCUGCCUCUCUGGUCUCUCUGCUCGCCGAGCCGAGCCGAGACUGCUGGUUGGAUCCAUGUGGUGGUUCGCUCUUUGCUCGCUUUCCGUAUUUGUAUCGCCGCGCCGCGCCGGGGGAGUGAGGGGGAAUACGUGUCUGUCUCUCUCUCUCUCUCUCUCGCGUCACCCGACGACUAGGAGAUUCCUCCCUUGGCACAGCCAGCACAGCACAGCACAACGUCUCCACUUGAGCUUUCAAUGUUGGUGAGCCAAUCACCAAUAAUAUAUGCCUUGCCAUUCUUCUUGUGGUACUCCUUCUUCUUUCCACCUUUCUUCUUGAGUCAUCUUGCUCCUUGUUCUUCUUCUUGUACUUAUCCUUCUUGGGUUUAGGACAUUGAUGAGCAAGAUGACCAAGUUCGCCACAAUUGUAGCAAUCCAUCUCGGAGAUAGGCUUUCUCUUGCUACUUAUAAAGAACUUCUUCUUCUUCUUGGAGUCGAAGUUGACUCCAUUCUUGUUGAGCUUCUUAAGCAUCCUCGUGGUUCUUCUCACCAUGAGAGUGAUGGUGGCGUCAUCAUCACUUGAAGUUGAUGAUUUAACUUCAAUCUUCUUGGACAUGCCCUUGUGAGAGGCCUUGAGAGCCAAGUCCUUCUUCUCUUUCUUGGACAAUGAGGAGCUAUCUUGGGGGUUGAUGUGCAUGUACAUCUCAUGAGCGUUGAUCUUCCCUAAGAUGGAUGUCGGUGUGGCAGUUGAGAGAUCUCCUUGGUGAAGCACGGCGACUAUGUGUCCAUAUUUCUCAAUGGAGAGAACACAUAGUAUCUUCCUUGCCACAUCGGCCGGACUCAUUUGGUUGAGUCCAAGUCCAUUUAGCUCCUCUAUAAUGACAUUCAAGCGAGAAUACAUUUCAUUAGCAUUUUCUUUUGGAAGCAUCUCAGAUAUAUUAAGCUUGUGCAUAACAAGAUGAAAGUGCUGCUCACGCUCACUCAUGGAUCCCUCAUGGAGCGCACAAAGUUCUGUCCAUAGUUCAUGGGUGCUCUUGUGGUUUCGGACACGGUUGAACACCUCUUUGCAAAGACCUCUAAAGAUGUGGUUUUUGGCCUUUGUAUUCCACUUUUUGUUUUCUUGCUCUAGUGGAGUAAGAGCGGUGUCCUUAGCCGGAGGAUUAAAUCCUUCGGUAGCGGCUUUUAGGCACUUGACAUCGCAAGCUUUGAGGUAUGACUCCAUCCGUAUUUUUCAAUAUGGAAAGUCAUCACCCUCGAGCAUAGGUGGCGGUCCAUCCCCGUGAGACAUCUUUCUCUAGGUGGUGACGCCUAAUUUAUGAGCACUAGGCUCCAAUACCAAUUGAAAGGAUCAAGAUGCCCGAGAGGGGGGUUGAACUGGACUUCUCUAAAUAAUUAAGCAACCUAUAAGCUCUAAUUCAAUCCUUGUGCCUAAGUGUGUUCUAGAGAGCUACCGAAUAAAUGUUUUGCAACCUAGUUCCAAUCCUAUUCUAGCAUGACAAUUCUAGAAAUGUAAAGUACUCAAAGUAAAUGCUAGAAUAUAAAGGAUGAGAGCAAGAAAGACGCGGUGAUGUUUUGCCAAGGUAUCGGAGAUUCGUCACUCUCCACUAGUCCUCGUUGGAGCACCGACGCAAGGGCCUUGCUCCCCUUGGUCCGCGCAAGGACCAAGUGCUCUCUACGGGCUGAUUCUUCGACACUCCGUCGCGGUGAAUUGCCCAAAACCGCUCACAAGCUUAACACGAGCCACCCACAAAAACUCUAGGCGAUCUUCAUGCCUCCAAUCAUCACCGAACCGUCUAGGUGAUGGCGAUCACCAAGAGUAAUAAGCAAAGAACUCACUUCACCCAAAAAAGGCAAUAGAGAGUGGUGGAUGCAUAUUUGAACUCUUGAAACUCAUUAGAGAAGGAUUCGCUCAAGAAAUCACUCAGAUCUCAAUUCUCUCUAGGCUCUUGCUUCUCUCUUGCACCACAAGGUGAUUCUCAACUGAUCGAAUGGGCAAGAGACCUCCUAUGGACGAGGUGAAGGAGUAUAAAUACUCUCCAUUAAGUCCAAGGAUCGGCCACUCGAAUUCCACAGAAAACAAGUGCACCGGACGCGCUUGAUGUUGCACCAGACGCACUCUCUAGAGGGUCCGGUUCUACAUUAACGGCUAGUUGUACUUGAAAACCUACCUCACACUGGAUGCACCCGACGAUGGUCCGAUGUCCCACCCACAGCUCGUCCGGUGAGAAACCGAUUUGCAAACCUCUCUAGGUAAGGGACCGGACGCACUCCGUAAUGUCCGGUGUUUUUUAGCCCAAAUUUGAAACAUAUUUUAAAUUUGACCCGCUUUUAAAAAUAUUUUCAAAACUAGGCUGUUUGGACCCGCCACCAUGCAUCGCGGGGCAAAUGCACAGAACCCCGCCAUGCAUGGCGGCGGGGUACUACUGCUGACGUGGCAUGGUUCAGGGGGACACCUACUGACGUGGCUAACACGUGGCGAGGUACGUGGCAAAGAGUACCCCGCCACGCAUCAUGGCGGGAGGCAACCCCGCGCAUCAUGGCGGGGUGCUCCCUGUCUGACAAAAUGGCCCACCCUCUACUUUCUUUGUGUUCUCUGGUGGCACUUUCAUUCAUUUGUGGUAAUUAUUGUCUGUAAAUUGCACUAAUUAUACAGUUUGCCUUUAAAUCAUGAGACAAAUCUUUUAAGCCUAGUUGCUUUAUAAUUAGAUAUUUUUUAUUAAAUAAAAACAAAAUUACUACAGUGUUAAAAUCUAAAAAGUUUUUGGAUCUAAACAAGGUCAGGCUAUAGUGUGUAUGCGUGGAGAGAGAGAGAGAGGGGUCAGGCUUGCCCAUCAAGCUGACGUGAGAGGCAAAGUGACAGUAGUAUAGGGUGUUGAGCCUUAUUUAGUUUUCAAAAGAUUUUGUAAAAUUUUUCAGAUUUCCCGUCACAUCAAAUCUUUAGACGUAUAUUUUUAACUUCAAAAAAAUUUAUUCAAAAAUUAGGUUUAAAUAUCUAUCUAUUGAUUCUAAUUUUAUAUUAUAAAUAUUAAUAUUUUUAAUAAAUAUUUAAUCAAAGUUAUUUUUUAGAAAAAAAAUAACAAACAUUUAGGAACGGGAGUGAUGCGGUGAAGUGGACCUAUUUGGCCCACUAACACCUUGACAGCUUUGACUUAUGUGACCUUAUCUUCUACUUCUUCCCUCCCUCAAAUUCUCUCCUCGUACAAGCUGUCAUCGCCGGUCUCUAGCACCGCUACUGCCGAGCCUCCUAUGUCGUGUCUCGUCCAGCCACCUGCGUUGUGUGCCUCCUAGCCACCACACCAUUGUCGCAUGCCAUGCCUACCUCCAGUGGUGCCCGUCGCCAUAGCGACCAGCGCUUUUCUGAUGGUUUAAGCCAUCAAGGAAUAGUUGCUGAUGGUUUUCCGUCAGAGAAGGUUCACUUUCCCUGUCAAUCCUGAUGGCUUAACUCUGACGGUUAAUAGUCUUUUCUGACAGUUUUUGCCGUUUUCCUUGACGGUUAUGGCCAUCAUGAAAAAAAUGGCUGGGGGUAGUGACGUCAUUCCCCAGGAUGGCACAUAGGAGAGGAGGGUAAAGUAAAUUGGUGAUUGCAGUGGUACAUAGGGAAUUAAUCGUAGUCUUCCGAUAUGGUACACAUAUUGGUAGUUUGGUACUGAGAUUUUUUUCCUGUAUAAUAAUAAGGUUGUUUUUUUUAAUUCCUAGACCCUCUCGAUUUUAAACGUGGUGCUUCUAUUAUUAUGUAAAAUAUUGAUCUGUCGUGCCAUGUCACGUACUACUAUAGUGCUAUUUUACAAUCUUGGUUAGUUUAACCCGACACUCACUAAAUCAACAAAUUGCAUACUAGUACUCCAUCUCUCUCUCUCUCUCUCUCUCUCUCUCGUUAAGAUUUGUAAAUUGUUUUGACUUUUCUAAAUAUAUAUAGUUUGUACAUAUAUCUAGACUUAGCUUAUAUUAUAUCUAGAUGUUUAGCAAAUAUUAUGUAUCUAUAAAAAAAAUAAAAUAAAUUAUAAUUUAGAACAGAGAAAGUACAAUUUAUAUUUAUAUUAGACAUGGGUUAAUGAGCCGCAUGCAGCUCAGAUCUUUUCCUCAAGGUCUUCGACAAAGGAAAAUUUUCCUAAAUCAUUCCUUUCAUGUAUUGUUUUUAUUUUGUUGUUUUAUAUGCAUCAAACAAUAAGUAAAGAUGGAAAUUUUCUGAUCUCUUCAUUAUUUCUCUAUCACUUAUAAAACAAAUACUCCCUCCGUCUACAAAACGUGUAACUAUAAGAUUUAUGCAAGUCAAACUAGCUUAUGAUGAAUAAUAUUACCCCUUUCAUGUCUCUAACUAAGUUUUUGUAAUUAAUUUAAUGGUACUCAUAUCAAAAAUAUUAGUAUUUUUUUAAUAUAACUUAAUCUCGAAUUGCGUCCUUUUUGUUGAUGGAGGUAGUACUCAUUGAGAUCGACUAAGGCCUUGUUUAGUUCACCCAAAAACUAAAAACUUUUCAAGAUUUUCCGUUACAUUGAGUCUUGCAGCACAUGUAUGGGGCAUUAAAUAUACAUGAAAACAAAAACUAAUUGCACAUUUGCUCGUAAUUGCGAGACCAAUCUUUUAAGCUCAGUUACUUUAUGAUUGAACAAUGUUUGUCAAAUAAAAACGAAAGUUUUAUAAUGUCAAAAUUCAAAAAAAAAAUGUAAACAAGGCCUAAGCAUCAUUGCAUCAACCAAUUCAACUUUAAGCUCUUCCAGGUCCUCGGAGGGCGUGUAUGGGAGGUCGAGCGCCAACUGUCCGGCGGGUAGAGUUAGGCCUUGUUCAGUUCACCUUGAAAAUCAAAAAGUUUUCAAGAUUUCCCAUCACAUCGAAUUCUUAUGGUAAAAUAUUAAAUAUAGACGAAAACAAAAACUAAUUACACAGUUUAGCUGUAAAUCACGAGACGAAUCUUUUGAUCCUAGUUAAUCCGUGAUUGGAUAAUAUUUGUCACAAAUAAACGAAAGUGCUACAGUAUAAAACUUUUCACUUUUCGGAACUAAACAAGGCCUUAGGGUUCCGCUUAGCCUCCUCAUGGAUAGACGGGGGAUCGGUGUCAGCAAGAGAACAGGAAAGAAACUGAAUAAACAAAAAUAAAACAAGGUAACAUGAGGUGAUCUUCAUGGCGAAGGAGUAUAGAGACUCCUACUCUUUUUUUUUUGACAACACAGGAAGGCUCAAAGCAGGGCUGUUGAAGUACAUUUGUAGAGAGAAACUGCUAGAAAGCCACUGACAGUCUGACUGCAUAAACAAGGGGCAAAAGGGAGAUUUCACCUGUUCAUAUUAUUCUGCUAGCGAGCGUUUUGAAGGUGUGCUGAAUUCGCUGUUCAUUUCUGUAGAAAUCAACAGGACAAGUUCGUUUGCAGGCAUCUCUCACGGCCAAAAGGGAAAAGAUAAAUAAAACCACCCAAAUCGCCUCUUUGUAGCUCGAAGUACAAGGAUGAGAACUGGAAAACAAUGAGACUGAAGAUUACGGUCUGAAAUUUUACAUGCGAAAAAUUUACGGACGAGGGAAUAACAGUUGCCACUGUCAUGGCUGCCAACUAGGCUACUACCAUUUACAUCUUAGACCUUAGUACCUUACUUUUACUUCAGGUAACAAAAAAAAAGAACCCGACAUACUAGAUCAGUUCAGUAACAAUUAUUUACCUACUAGGACGACACGAAUUUUAACCAAAAACAAAGUUACUGCAUCUUCUCCAGAUUAAUUAACCUUAACCAGCUUGGGUGACUAAACUGAGAGCAGAGUCGUCACGGUCAGUCGUCGAUGGCCUUGGCCCUCAUGCAGCAGGAGGGCCCGCGGGCCUUCUGCUUGGGCCGCCGGCUGUCGCGCCGCCGGCCGUAGAGGUACUCCACCAGCUGCACCCGUGACCGCCGCUGCACCUGCACGGUGGUGGCCACCGCUGCCUUGGCCGCUCGCCGCGCCGCGCGCUCCUCCUCGUGCCGCAGCAGCGCGUGCUGGAACCGCUGCAGCUCCAGCUCCAGGCGCCCGGCCUUCUCCGACAUCUUGCGCACGCGCUCCAGGAUCUUGCGCUGGCUCCGGCUGCGCAGGUCCACGUCGCCGCCGCCGUCGCCACCCGCCGACGUGAACUCCUCCGCCUUCUUCAGCAGCUUUGUGUUCGCGUCGAUCAGCUCCGCGAUGGCGUCCUCCGCGUCGGCCAUCUGGGACUUCACGCUGUCCAGCUCCGCGUCCGACGACUCCUCCACGCCGGCGCGCAGCUCCUGGACGAUGGACCGGAGGUCACGGAGCCGCUGUGCCUCGGAGGAGAGCCGGUCGAUCACCUUCUUCUUCCACUCCCUGUGUGGCUCCGUCGUCGUGGCCGUUGCAGCUGCUGCCACCACCAUGGGCCGUGACAGGACCUCCUGCUUGUCCACGCUGAGGUCCUUCACGGUCACCACUGGCUCGGAGGACGAUCGCUUCUUUGCCUUGUCGUUCUCAGCUGCCUCGCUUUGUGGCGGUCGGAGGUCCACAUCGUACCGCCGGCUGCCGCUGCUCACCCUGUCCACGCUCCACAGUGCGAGCAUCUUGUCGUCAGACUGCGCCGCCGCCGCCGCCACUGAGUUCUUCUUCCUGUGGCGCCCGUGUGAGACGGCAGCUCGCCGGCUAGGUGUCUGGACGAGGUCCAGCUGGAUGUCCUUCAUCAUCCGCUCGUAGUUCACGUCGCUGGCGUCGCUGUCCAGGAUCUCCUUCAGCUUCAGCAUCUCGAUCUGCUUCCUUGCGUCCUGGAGGUUGCUGUUGAAGUCGAGCCUCUCUUGCUCCAGGACCACCCCGGUAUCUGACACCACCUUCUGAAGUGCCUUGAUGGUUCCGUGGAGUUUCUGCAGUUCCAUGUCCUUCACCAUCUUUGUGGUGUUUUGAUCUUCGCUUGGCCUCACAGCAAUCUUUGACAGCUGAGGUGAUAAUGGGUUCUCCUGGCAAAAACAAUAAGCAGAAUGAGUCUCAUGAAUAAGAAAAAAUACCAAUACCAGAGAUUCCUGAAUAAUCACAUAACAGAAUAUGUAUACCUCCUUGAGCAUGCUUGGUGGCAGGCAAUCCUUGGCCAGAGACAAGGUUUGUUUCUCUAGGGCAUCAACUUCAGUUUGCAAUGCUCCGAGCAGUGUGAAGUCGCCAUUCAGAUCAACCUUCAGCCUUCUGUUCUCAAUCUCAAUGGCAUUAAGCUUGUCCUUGAGCUCAUCCACGUAAGAGUUUCUCCGGGUGAUCUCCUCUUUCAGCACCUCCUUCUGCACCAUGUCACUGAUCUCAAAACUCUCGCAUGUCACGAUGAGCUCAAGCACCUUCUCCUUGAAGAGAGAUGCAUUGGCUGUGGCCAGUUGCAUGUUGGCCAGCAGUUUAGUGAUCUCUGCGUCACAAGAUUUCACAUCAAUCACAGGCUGUUCCUUGCUCCUAAGCACUUGCAGUUCAUUUUUCAAUUUCUGGAGCUCCUCUCUAAGCAUUUCAUUUGAUUUCUCGAGACCAGCAUUGUCAACUUCUUUUCGCUGUUCCAUGUUCUGGACACUCUCUUGGCUUUUCCUUCCAGAUUUUAAUAGCUUUGUAUCUCUCCUCAUAGCACGCCUUCUUCCAGAGGAAACUUCUGUACCAGAGCCGUCACAGAUGCUUAGAGUUCUACUGAGUUCCUUCUCAAGAUAGUUGUUCUCAAGCUGUAGAUCUCCGAGCUUCUUGUUCAUCAGCUUGAUUUCCUGAUAAAGCUCAUUGCCUGCUGCAUGUAGAGACCCAAAAUCCUCAUGCAAACACUGCAAUUGUGCUGUCCUCUCUUCAUGAAGGCUUCUAAAAAUGACACCAAGGAUAUCUGUCCUGACCGCCUCACCAAUAAGUGUGCUGAAAUCAUCAUCAAAUGACUUCUCUUUCUCUCUGGAGCCAUAAACUUUGCUAGAGAGUGAAGUGUUCUCUUCAAUCAGCUUGACAAUCUCUGCUUGCAACGAUUGCCGUGACUCUUGCAAUUCCGACAGUUGUCGAACCAAGAACUUUGCCUCAGAUUUCAGUUCAUCCACUUUGCGGUUACGAGCCUCCAUUUCCUUCCGUAGCUCACAGCUGAUCUUUAGGAGGUCAUGCCUUUCACUCUGCAGCUGCAGCAGCUCCUCACUCUUUGUUUGCCACUCUUGCUUCAGAACACUCCUUUCUGACCUCAGGUCAGCCACCUCGCGCCCAAAGUGCUCAAGAAGCGUGACAACAAGGGACUUCUCAAGGAUCUGGUUCUGCUUCACAUCCUGGGCAUCAGAAAUAGUAUUCAGCAGGCACUUGAUCUCAUGCAAGAGGAGCUGCACAACAACAUCAACCUUCAUUAGAUCCAAUGACCCGUAUUUCUCAUCCAGAUUCAGUACUUCCACUACAGAACCUAUCCCUUCAGUCAGCUGCUGGUUGUUCUGUGACAAGAAAUCAACUUUCUCCUCUUGAUCCUUGCAUACCACUUGUUGCUUCUGCAAUCGUGACAAGGCAUCAACAUUUGCUUCAGCCAUGUCACCUAAGCACCUCUGUAAGAUAAAAAUCUCAGUCUGAGCUUCAACAAUCUUGUGCUCCUCCUCUUGAAGCUGGUCCUCCCUGCGGUGAACCUCUUUUAGCAGUAGACCUAUCUGCUUCUGCAUAGCACUGAAUUGAGUCAUGUCUGAGUUGGUGGCUUCUUUGUGUUUUUCUUUUUCUAGUCUCAACAGCUCUCGUAAUCUAAUCACUUCAUUGAGGGCCCUGUCUUUGUCUUGCUCAAGAUCCAAAUAUCGCCCUUCUAACUCUGCAUAUUGGGUUUCCAAACUGAGUAGAGCACUAUUGAUGCUAUCCACCUGACAACAUGAAUGUAUCCAGGGAUCAAUUUACACAAAAUUUAAACUAGGAUGAAAAUAAACAGAAAGCAAGAGAUUCAAGCAUCAUACCUCACGCAUCAGAGUUCUCUUUUCAGAUCGAAGUACAGAAUUCUGGUUGCGGAAUGUGUGAGUAGAUUCCUCUGAAUCUUUCAGCUUCCUUCUAAGCAACUCCAGCUCAGUAUUGUUAUCAGAUAACAAAUUUUCCAAGAAGACAUUCUUCUCUGAUAUCUUCUCCAUGGUAUGAGAAAUUCCCUCAAUCCGUGCAACAAACAUGGCUCUCUCAGACUGAUGGCCAUUAACCUUGGAAUGAAGGUGUUUGCAUGAUUCUUCCAAUGCAGCCUUCUUCUCCCGCAAGCCUUCAAUUUCAGUAGUUGCAGCUGAAAGUGAUCUCUCCAAAUGAGCAUUUUUCUCCAGCGUCCUCUCCAGCAGCAUCAGAUUAUCAACGUACAAGGCUUUUACACCCUCAUGAUUUUUUAUGGUCUCUUUUAGCUCAACAUUUCCGUCCCUCACCUCUUGAGCAAGUGAUUGGAGUGAUUCUACAUUGAAAUUCACCUCUUGUAUUUGCUCCUUGAUCGAAAAGUGCUUCCUGUCCAAGUCACCCUUGUUAUCUUUGAGGUGCGAAAGCUCAUGCUGAAGCACCUUUUUCUCCUCCAUGUGCCGAGACACCUCUUCUUCAAGACACCGCUGUGCAUUCUUCAAAGAAAUUAUCUCAUCUUGAAGACGAAUUAUCACAGAGGUAGAGGAAUGGUUUUGAUCAUCCAAUUUCCGGUUCUCUUCUCGAAUACUUUCCAAUUCCUUUUGAAGUUGAACUCUGGUUGCUUCAAUAUUCUCAAUCUUACUUGCUUCCCCAUGCUUUUCAAGAGACAUAAGUCUUAGCUUCUCCUGUGCUUGUGCCAAUUGCUUCUCCACAGAUAGCCGGGCCAUUUCUGCUUGCAUGCUCUUGAGUUGCUCUUCUUGUAUAGAGAUGCUAAGCUUCUCCAACUCAAUGUGCUUCUCAUUUAGCUCGUCAUGCUUCUCUUUUGAGGCAAGCUUCAGCUUAUCUAGCUCCAGAAGCAAAUUUUGGUUAGCCCUCUCAAGCAGAAGGCACCGCUCCUCUGCAGUGCUCAAAUUCUGUAGCCCAUUUUGCAUCUCCUCUUUCAGUCUAUUGAACUCCUCCUGGGUAUGCAAUAUUUCAGACUUGAGGCUCUGUAAUCGAUCACUGGAUUGCUGGCAUUGUGAAAAUGCAGCUUCCUUCUCUGCUUCUUGUUCUGCAAGGGCCUCCUUGAGAGAAAGAACUUCAGAUUCAGCCAUAUUGCUCUUUUCUAACACUGAUGAAAUUUUCUUCUUCAGUUCUUGAUUUUCCUGUGACAAACUUGAUAUCUCUUUCUGCAGCUUCUCAUGGUCCUGGUCAUCUGAAAUACUAAUAUAUUAGGUUGAUCUGCCAUUUAUUAGGAUAUCGCAAUUGCUGAGGAAUUAAAUUUCAUAGGCAUACCUUUAGUACGUUUUUUUGAAUCACCACCAGCCUUGAUGAAUGAAAGGAAAAAUGGAGUCAUAUCACGAUUGUCGGUUUCAGUUUCAGUAGAUGCAGUUUCUGUAGGCAGGUCAUCAUCAAAGUCCAACUGAAACUCAUCGGGAAAUGCUUCUGCCAUUUUUUUAUGGGCCUGUCGGAGUUCUCCAGCUGCAUGAUCAUAUCUUUCAGCUAAAGCUCGAUAAGCACGGUACAACUCCUCAAGCAAAGACAUCAGCUCUGGGCGCCUUUUGUAAUACAUUUCCGCUCUUCUGGCAAAUGAGUCAGCAUCCUCAUCGAUAAUCUUGAUCAUCACUUUGAUUUUGCUAUCCAUAUCUGUGUGACCACACAUUAACAAACACUGAUUCAGUACAGGGUUUAAUAAAUCCAGCAAAAGAAGAAGUAAACCACCAGAUAAGUGCACAAGAACACCCAGCCACCAAAUAUUAUUGCUUUUAAUGUAGGAAAGUUAGCUCUCAUAGUAUCCAUGAUUUGAAUUUGUUUCAACAGAGUUAGUGGUCCAAUCAUUAUAGAAUAGCUGCAACCCAUGACUGGUACAGAUUUAUGCCACAAGCUAUUUAUGAACUUGUCCCCAACAAAUCUGCUGACUUUUCCACAAGAAGUUUAAUUGAACAAUAAUCAGAAUCAAGGUCAUCCAACUAGAUCUGUAUUUGCGCAUUAAACGUUUAUGUUAUUGCAGUUAAAUUCUUGAAAAUACACAAGACGGUGCUAAGAUAACCUCAGGCUGAAUAGACGCUACAAUAGGUAAUGCAGAAGCUCUUUUUCCUCAAAUUUUGCGACAUGAUGACUCCGAAACUAGAACAGAAACAUAAUGUUGACACUCAAGUACAUAGUGGCAUGUACAUGUUGCUAAUUUGUGGUAUCGACUAGAAUCACUCCAAUUUCUAGACUGAAUGAAAUCACCAUAGUGAACCAACAAAGUUUACCAGUGAGAUUCUCCUGGAGCCAUUUCGAGUUCUUGGGGGAUAUGUGACUAUCCCACCACCAUGAGUACUUGCGCAUUGGAUUGGAUGGCGACAUCGCCAUUGAGGCCAGCUAAGAGAGAACAGCACUCCCUGGCCUCUUAAGAAAACUUCUGUAGCUUCAAAGCUAAUGCAGUAGACCCAAGUAACUAGAGUUGAAUCUGUUCAAAAGCCUAGCACCAACCUACUACCUGCAGAACAUCAUAAACUUUCAAAAUUAGCACCACGCACAAAAGAGCAUUCCUAGAGUUCAGGCACUAGGCCGUAGAACUGAAAAAUGAAAUGUUGGCCUCAUUAUGGCUUGUGCCACGCAAGUUGUUGUCAGCACAGUCCAAGAGGGGAAUAAUAGCAUCAAACAGUGGUCAAAGAUAAAGAUUAGCUACGCGUUCAUGCAAUAAAUUAUUACUACCCCAACAUGGGACGAUAUUGAAACGCAGAAAACAAAUACUCUUCACAAGAUUCUAGUGUUAUGGUUUGACCCUUUGAGGAGAAGCAGUUACUAAAUCCAGAUGGAAAAUAACACCUGAGCAUCCCGAAAAUGUGCAGAAAAUUUGCUCAAGAACAGAAAGAAAAAUAAAACUGCCCAAAUUUUGCUACCACAAAGACCCCAAAGUUAUUGGGGGGAAAUACAUUUCCAAGGGAUGAAUCAGAACCCUACCCUCAAAAACAGCUCGAAUAUUGUACCACCUUGCUACAUGCUACACAAAGGCACAGAAACAAGAUCACUGCAGGAUGGAAGCAACCUCCAUUACUGCGAACAGAGCAUCAAAGAAUGGUUAAAAAAAUGGUAAAGAAAAGGAAAAGGGCAAAGGAGGGCUGUGAAAAGAAGCCUCCCAACUAACGCAAUAAAGAUGAGAGAACGCCCAUGACCCAACCACCCCAGGCCUGAAAUCGCCUUCCCAAAAGGAAGAACACGGGCAGAAAUCCACACCUGCAGGCUGCAGUAAGAGCUGGAUGGAUAUCACAACGCUCGCAAGCAUUUCAUGAACUGGAUGCUGCUGUGGUGGAAACGGGGCUCCAAUGAGAACCAGAACAAAACAAAACAAAAAAAGGGGGACAAUCUUUAUUAGGAGGAAGAGUUCUGAAUCCUACUCAAAAGGCAGGGACAGCAUUAGCUGCUGUCAGCGAGGACGAUAUGAAUAUGGACGCAAGAACCGUAGAAGGAAAGGAAAGCAGAAAUCAAAGCAUUUUCCUACGAUACAGUGGGUUCACGGGGCAAAUCUGUGGGGGCGAAAAGAGGGACGGAAUGGGGUCCAGAAAUUACCAAAAAGGCAGGACGAACUCAUCGCGUUCUCCUUCCUAAAGAACAAGAAGCAAACGGAAAGGAAAAAUCUUGACGCAUUCCCCCCUUUUUUUUUCCCCACCGAAGAGCAGUGGCCAGAACCGAAUCCGUGGCCAAAUUUCUGCAGCAGAACUAAGGGCCAAUGCAGAGAUUAUACGGGCGGGCACAGAUUGGCGGCCCUCUGGUCAAUGACCACGAGGAACACGAGAAUGGCUAACAAUAGCGAAACACGCGCACACGAAACAACGGGUGAAAAUGGCAUCUUUUCAUGCCCAAGAUAAACGCAAUCGCAGAAACGGAUAGAAUGCCAGGGGAUUGCCGUUGUUGCCUAAAUGACUCGACGCAAAUCGAAGAAGAAACGGGCUUACCAUGGAGGACAGCGCAGAGGAGGGGAGGAUCUUGGCCAGUCAGCUGCAACCCCGAGACAGAGAGAUCCAGCUCCGGCUGCUCCUUCCUUCCUCACCCCCCACACUAGCUCGCCCUAAGCCGCCAUCAUUCUCACCACCACAUUAACACCGCACCACCAUCUCGCGGGAGAGGGGGUCCUGGGGAAGGGGAGGGACAGAGAGAGAGAGGCUCUCACUCCUGGACAGAGAAAUGGAGCGGCUGCAAUCAUGGGACGCAGGAGGAGCAGUGUGGUGUGGGGGGAGGAGGAAGGAGGAGUGAUGGGGGUAUUAAUUGUUUAUUUAUUUUUAUUUAUAAUCGGAAAAGUAAAGGACAAAGAUUAAGGCUCAUGGAUUUAAUAUUUUGGGUGUGAGUACACUUUGGCCUUGUUUAGUUUCGAAAAAAUUUUGGAUUUCGCUACGGUAACACUUUUGUUUUUAUUUGAUAAAUAUUAUUCAAUCAUGGGAUCAAAAGAUUCGUCUCGCGAUUUACAGACAAACUGUGUAAUUAGUUUUUGUUUUCGUCUAUAUUUAAUGCUUCAUGUGCCGCAAGAUUCGAUGUGACGAGAAAUCUUGAAAACUUUUUGGAUUUCGUGAUGAACAAAACAACGCCUUUGUUCUGCAUGCAAGAAGAGCAGGUGUGUGAAUCACAAUCACGGUGGGGUUACUGCUGGCUUUGUUUGGGCACAGGGUUGUAUUUUUUUUCAUUUUGUUACUUUCACUCUUUUUACUGGUCCGGGUGGGAUAUGUGCAGUGGAGUUCGGGGGACAAGAACAGUGAUGGUGCAUCAGACACAAAUUUAAAAAUUGUUCGAUGAAUAUUUUCUCGGUUUUAUAUGCAUGCUUGCACGACUGGUCUGGUCAGUGUGAUUUAAUUUGUACUGUGUGGGGCUGGACCAGACACCAGGGAGAUUACUGUGAAUUUAUUUUCUUUCUUUUUUUACCGUUGCGGUUUAUUUGGAAGACCAGCGUGCGUAUCUAUUGUGGGGGUUGUUAACGUUGGGAUUUGCUGCUAUUUCCUUCGGAGAAGAUAAGGAGGAAACGGUCAAAAAAAGAAACGGUAAAAAACAGUUUAAUAUGGAAUGACUGGUAGCAGUAGACCGUGAUUUGUCGGGACUUGUUUAAAAACUUUUCAAGAUUUUCUAUCAUAUAGAAUCUUUCGGUAUUAAAUAUAGAUAAAAAAAUCAUUAAUUAUAUAGUUUAUCUAUAAUUUACGAGAUGAAUUUUUUAAAUCUAAUUAUUCUACAGUUGUAUAAUAAUUAUAUUAAAUACAAACAAAAAUACUAUCGUGUUUAAAUCUAAAAACUUUUUAGAUUUAAACAAGAUCUUUGUAUUUUUUUAACUGUAUUGUCAGAUACUGUAUGGCCUUUGACCUAUUCACGUGCACGAUGCUCUACUUUAUCAACAAAAAAAUCUUAGUCCCGAAGAUAUCAAAUGCUUUUUAUAGAAGAUACUAUCAGCGUUUAUUGCUUGAGGAAAUGAUACUUAUGGAGAACAAAAAUUUACUACUACCUAGCAAAAAUAACUUUCGUAUUUCUAGCGAUAAAAUAUCUUCAGCACCAGUAAAAACAUAUGACCGCAGUUUUAGAGUUUUGUUCUUACCGUCAGUCACAUGUAGAGGACUGCAUAACGCAAGCAAAGUGCGAAAGAUCAAGCUGAUUAGAUUUCUUAUAGUGAAACUUGUUCACCAGGUUCAAGUCCCUGAUUUGGCAUGAAUGUUUGUAUUUUUUUAGAUUUAUUUUAAGAUUUAACGACGCUAUGCUCUUAGUGGUAGACGAUAUAUCCGUCGACAGCAAGGUGUAUGUGGUUACUUCAUCAAUCUCAAGAUUUACUGAUCCAAUUCGGUUCUUUGGAUGUGCUCAUAUGGAUAGAGUGUGCAUGUGUGCGUUCAUAAGGGUGAAUGUGCGCUCGUGUUGUUGUGCAUGCGUGCGUUUAUAGGGAUGAAUAUGCGCUUAUGUUUGUAAGCGUCUACGUCUGUAACUGGGUCUCGAAAAAAAUACAAACAAGGUGUAUUGGUGUAUCUACAUUGCCACUGGCGUAUCCAUGCAUGAGUUAUGAGUACAUAGAUCCCAUACACACAAGGAGCAGUAGUAAUUUACAGCCUGUAGUUAGCCACUGUGGGAGAGAGGAUUGUGCACCAAACCACCAACUCUAAUCAUUGUUUAAAGCAAACAUUUGUUGUGUUUAGCAUGUGGACUAGUGGAAGGCAGGAUGAGAGCUAGGAACCAGGAAGAUGCAUGGUAGAAAAGCCUGGUGGGCCCACUGAACAAUUGUUUAUAAGUGUAUAAACAGGCACACCGGCCAGUUUCAUUGCAGAUUUCCAGUACAUGGGUCGUGCUGUCUUUGUCUUCUUUUCUGCUCACUUGGAACCACAGUUGAUGGUUGCUGUCUGCCUUUAUAUUACCCUUUUUCUUUUCAAUUAAAAAGGCCAGCUUCUAGGCUUUAAAAAAAAUUAGAAGGGGCUUCUAUUCUAUAUACUCCUAGGACAGACUCUCCAACCGCACUGCUAAUAUGAUACUUGAUUGAACAGAGCAUCACGGACCAAUGUCAUGCUCAGCCACUGAUGAGUGUGCAUGAAUAUUCUCAAGGAAUAUGGUCAGCUCAUUUGUUUGUGCAUCCGGCAGUUAUUACUUUGGUUUAUGUAGCUAGUGUGCUAUUUCUCUGCUAAUAAUCAAGAUCACAUUCCUAAUGAAAACUGAUGGAGUUACACCGCCUGUCUAUAUAUGUAACAGUAUAUAUAUACCUCAUUUGGCUCUCACAGAUUUUUAGUCAUUCAGAUCGACCAGACACAGCACCAUUUGAAAUCAGUGUAAUGAUCAUUUAUGAGUACUUAGUUUCUCCAAAUAUAAGCACAUAUGAUUUGUUCUAAGUCAAACCUUUUUUUAACUUCAUAUUUUUCAUAUAGUCCACACAAGAUUGCAUGAUUAGAAUUCAUUAUUAUAAGAAGAAUAUUUUAAAAUUCUUUUAAUACAUAAUUGGUUUAUAUACGUAAUGUAUGCUAAAUAUUUCUAUUCAAAAUUUAAAAUAGAUUUAGAUUUCCAAUUGGUGUAGAAGCUCUAGUGAUUUACCAAUUAGCUAGACAGCUCUCAAAUUUGGACUACAUGCAUGUAUAAUAUUGGACCCUAAAGAUUUGCAAGAUUUUUUAUGAACCGUGUUUGGCUAAUUACCUCCAUAAUGUUAGACUAUGCCACAUGCAUGUAUAUUGCCCCUAAAUCAGGUAUUAAUAUAGAAAACAAGAUUUUUGUGAUACUCAAAAUACUAAAAAAGACAGUUGAGAUGACAGAAGGUUUACAUAUGCAAUGGAAGUCUCCAGUCGAUCUCAUAUGCACAUGUGUCAUGGACAUUGGUGGUGAUUGAUGAGAUUCUAGGUAUGAUAGAGAUACUGUUCACAGAUUCUAUUAUUAAAUUAAAAAAAUCCUGUCCGAACGGUAGGCAUUGUAGGCUAGUGGAAUAUUAUGAGGAGCAAGUUUUAUUUAUCAUCAUCAUAGUUGAUUUUUCGUUAGAUAACUUUAUUAUAAAGCUAAUAAAGGAAAAUAAAAAGGUAUAUUCGUUGCUCAUCAGAAUGAGAGUCGUGUAGAUCAUGGUACUUUGGACCUUUGCAAAUCUCAAAAGUGUGAAAAAAAAUGUAGUAUAUUAGUGCAAAUUGGGUAUGGUAUGAUGAGUGCACGUAGGAGAGUGAUCAGCAAGAGCAUACAUCCUGCAUGGACGCGUGUUAAGUCCAUCUUAAGAGAGAAAAAUAUCGUCGUUGGUUAUUCUGCAAGUAAAAAAAUACCGUGGUGAGUGACAGUCAUAUCAAUUUGUGCUAGCUGCUUCUUCUAGAAUUACAUUUUUUUUCUCAGAAAUAACGUGUUUAUUAUUUAGGAAAACUGGAAAAGCCUACCCUAUAUCGUGACUUUUCACUUGGGACAAAAGAGGAGGGUAAAGAGAUUGCUUGCAAAAGGGACUGUCGGCUUGACCUUGUUGCCUGGAGCUAUUAUUAGCUAGCUAGCGUUUCUUUGGUGCACUGUCAAAAUCCAGACAUUUAUAUUUAUCUCUUUCGAAAGAAGCUUCAUUUUAUAGCAGCCAAUAGAGUUGUUCGCUUUGUGUUUGUACGCUUGCAUAGGUUUUCGUACAGGCACAGUGACCAAUAUAAACUCUCUAAUGCAAGGGAUCCAAGUUUAUUCUAAGUCAAACUAUAUAAAGUUUUUCUAAAAAUAUAGAGAAAGAAUAUUAAUAUCAAUCACAUCAAAGAUGUAAAUUAUGAAAGUAUAUAUUACAUAAUGUACCCAAUGAUACUGAUUUGAUGUAGUAAUUAUUAUUAUUAUUUUCUAUAAUUUUUUAUCAAAAAGUUAAAAUAGUUUGCUUACAAGCUUGGAUUUCUUAUAUUUUAGGAUGAAGGGUGUAUAUCAUCACAUACAUAUUCACAGAUCAUAUGUAUUUCCUCUAUUUUAUAUUACAAGUCAUUAUAGUUUUUUAGUACAUAUCUUUUUCUGUACAACUAAAUAACAUAGCUAAAUAAAUAUACAUUAUGCUUAAAUACAUAGUAAAAUCUAUAUAUCUACCUAGAAAAGUUAGAGUAACUUGUAAUUAAGUUUGUUUUAUAUGAGACCAUUUUUAUUCAUGUUGGUUGGUUGUUCCGACAACAAUGCCAUCUCUAUCUAGACUUCUAUGAGUGUGCUGCUCCAAAUUAAAUAAAUGCACUGCAUUAAACACCGAAUUAAAUCAUCCAUUCAAAAGUGCUAAUCUCUUCGAACUAAAUUAUGCUAGUACUACAAAUUUGAUUGAAGUUUAUGUCAAAUCAUCUUUCUUGUGGUGAUUCAAAUAAAACAUGUUCUCUUAAGUGGAGGCAUUAGUGGGGAAUAGUAGCAUGUGCAAGCUCGCAAGUACAACGGAGAAGAUGAGUCAGAGUGUGGCCCCACACUGAUAUUAAUGGAUACACGUACACUGAAGAGGACCCCCCACACCAAUUGUGCCCUUGACCAUCAUUGAUGCAUAGCUGUUGUUGCUCAGGGGAUCCAUGGAACUCUCUCUCAUCCAUCUCCAAGCUUUAAUGUGGCACCAAACUUUUCCUUCUGGAAUCCUUUAAAGUAAUCACAACAUUGUUCAGACACUUAGCAAUUUUUCCCCAAGAAAAGUACUGUGUAAAUUAGAAAUUCGAUUACUAUACCAAUUAGACAAGAAGAAUUGCAAACAUUUUGAUUUUGGAUAUUCUCCCCAUACAUAAAGUGUUUUGCUGCAAAUGUCCACACACAACUUAGCUCAGUUGCCAAAAGAAACUGCGCACAUGCUCAGCUAAUUCCUAUUUUUCACCAAUAUAGCUAGAGCCUAGAGCAAUCGCAGGCCAAGGUACCAGAGUCACGCCUAUUCAAGUGCUUUGGAUUAGACUUAGACUUAUUUGUUAAGUAAAAAACUACCAAAAAUAGAAAACUUGGUGUGUGACAACAAAAAAGUUCUUGCUGCCAGUGAUUCUUUUGGUAGAACCACAAAUAAACCAGAUGAGAUUAUACUCUAGUAUAUCUAUAUACUCUAGUGAUAAAGACUACAUUGGUGGCUCCAAACUGACGGAAACAAAUUGAGUUAGCUAAGCAUGAAUGCGAUGGGUGGGUUUUGUGACAGAACUUGGUGAGGAUGGAUAUUUGCAACAAAAUGACUUAUAAGAGAAAUUAACAGUUAAAGCAUCUAAAUACCAUGCAAGUCAAUUCGUGCCUUCUAUAUUUUAGGAUCGAAGGAAUUGUUAUGCUGUAAACAACAUUACCUAAAAAUUCAGUCGGGUUAAUUUGAUGGUGGAUUGACCACAAAAUAUCCUCCACAAAUCUUGCAGGGACGACAGCAUGGACGUACACGUACGAGCGAUGAAGAAACAAGCCACGAUUCCUCAAUCGCAUUCAUUCAUACUAUGCAUGAACAAUAAUCUGAUAUAUAUAUAUAUAUAUAUAUAUAUAUAUAUAUAUAUAUAUAUAUAUAUAUAUAUAUAUAUAUAUAUAUAUAUAUAUAUAUAUAUAUAUAUAUAUAUAUCGCGCCUUCUGCCUUCAAGUUACAUUGUAGUACGUACUAUAGUAAACCCUAGCUAGAGCUGACCGUGAUGGAUCCGUAUUUUUGGUUCGAUCCGUUUGACUCGUUUGCUCCUCUCUCUGACGAAUUGUUGACAGCGAAUCUGUGAUUGGACAAGACGACGGCGACGUGACUAGUUUACCCGAAUAAAUUUCGCUUCAGCUGUACUCUGUACGUCAAAAGAAUCCAUGGCUGUGGCCUUGUUCAGUUCGCAAAAUUUUGUGAAAAAUGGCACGGUAGCAUUUUCGUUUUUAUUUGACAAACAUUGUCUAAUUAUAGAGUAACUAGACUCAAAAGAUUCAUCUCGCGGUUUACAGAUGAACUGUAUAAAUAGUUUUUGUUUUCAUGUAUAUUUAAUGUUCCAUAUAUGUGCCGCAAGAUUUGAUGUGACGGAAAAUCUUAAAAAUUUUUGGAACUAAACAAGGCCUGUAGUACCCAUGUCUCAGCUGGAUCAUUGGAGGAAUCCAUGCAGCAUCCAUGUGCCUGGUUAGGUACUAUAGACGACUAGUGGUGAAACUUUGUAUAUAUAGUAAACAUGUAGUAUAUAUACUAGCAUCUUCUGUUCUCUUCCCCUUGGAAUGUUGCUGUCAAUGCAACCAUCAAUUUCUCAUCAAAUUAAUUAUAUAUGAUCGAGGACGUUUUCAGUUUCGAUUUAGGGAUAUUUCAAUGGAUAGAUUCGGUUAGCUAGCUAGCUAGAAUUUAAUUAGAAAGAUUCACCUAAUCCGAUCGCGUUUUGUGUGUUUGUUCAUUGGGGCAUUAAAGGUGGUGAUUGCUAAUCAGGAACAAGUUUGUUGUACAAAUACUCCUUUUGUCUCAAAACAAGUGACUUUUUUUUACUUUCAGAUAUAUAUCUUAUUUGACCAUUUGUCUUAUUCAAAAAAAUUAUAUAAACAUUAUCGAUUUUGUUAUGAAUUAUUUCAUUACUAACGAUAUUUUAAUAAUAAUUUAUAUAAAAAUUAAAUAAGACAAACUGUCAAACGAGAUAUCUAAAAGUAAAGAAAUCACUUCUUUUAAAACAGGAGUACAUGUUAAACAACAACAACAGCAGCAGCAGCAGCAGCAACAGGGCAUGAAUAUAUACAGUCAUUUUUAUUGGUCAUUUGGAUACUCCCUAUUGCAGCCACUUUACAAUAUAUAGUGUGUGAAGCACAAUUAGUGCAACCGCGUGCCAUGUGAUGCGAGCAAGCAACAGAAAGCGAUGGAUCUUGCUUUCGUCGAUUGGCCAGCCUCUACAUACUGAUCAUCGACGAUGAUCUCUCUCGCAACUCGCAUGCGUGCUCAUCUUUAAUUAGCCUUGCCUUUGCUUUGCUAGUAGUGAAUUGUGAUCUCUCGCGGAUCGGACGACCCAACACGCGCCUUUUUCCGGAUGCAUGAGAUCGAUGUGCACAUGAAGAGCCACUGUUCCCAGACGUCUACAAAUUACAAACUGACGAGUCUAGCUCCCUAACGUAACAACCAGAGGGCCGGGGUCGUCACUGACAAGCAGACAACAUCUGCCACGUAUCACUGAUGCUACGUUAACUUUGAUACUUUGAUCUAACCUAACAAACACCGAAGUGUUUUGUUCUCAACUAGGCACACUUUAUACCAAUAUAUACCAUGCCUUAAUUAAGGGAUUAUUUGGUAUGGCUCCUUCUCUUAAAGUGUUUAGUUUGGCUCUUUCGCAAAAGCUGUUGUUAGAGCUGUGUCAAACAUGCCCUGAUAAGCAUAUACAAUUUGAUCGAAUAUGGCGCGGCUAGCUAGUGUAUGUUUGCAUGCCUUCGCUCUUGUUGGUACAUAUAAUGUUUAAGCACCACAAAACAUUUGCCCCUACUUGACCUAUGUUAAGGCAAAGACUUUUAUUCUUUAUUAUCCAUAAUUCAUUGAAUGCGUCUUAUUUUUGAAAUAUUUCCUCCAAAACAUGACAUGCAAACAAAAUUUCGCCCGGUACAACCUAGCCUCCAUCUAUCUAUUUUCUUGCACACACAACAUAUACUCAUUAUUAGCGAAGGGAAUCAAAAGGGGGAGUUAGGCACCUGGCCCCAAAUAUUUUUAUGCCCCAUAUAUUGUAUCUCUCAAUUAGCUAUUUAAUAUUCCAAUUAUCUAGUUAAUAUUGCUAUUUAUGCUUUGAUUCAUUGUAUUCUCUCCAUAUUAUAUAUAAUUAAGAAUUUGCAUUGAUCUUAUAUUGUUUUCUACAUCUCUUUUGUUCUUUUUAUUAUUCACACACACGCGCGCGCGGGGGCGCGCACACACACAUUACACCAUUAUAAUUAGCUAGUUAUUUGUAAUUAGUUCUUUGCUUAUUUCCUGCCUUGGAAAUAAACUCCAAUAGAAUCUAUACUGUUUAUUUAUUUAUUUAUUUAUUUAUUUAUUUAUUUAUUUAUUUCAUAUUAACCUUCUUACUAUCUUUCUUGUGCGCUUUAUUCUUGUUACUGUCGUGAUUCUUUUCUGGCCUAAUAAUUAGAUUGAUCUUUGAAGGUUAGAGGUCUAGGACUAAUUAGUUUCAUUUUAUUUUUCUCUACAAUAUUCAAUGCUCUUUUUAAAAAGCAAUGCCGCCUUUCUUUGGUACCAUAACACAAACGUUUAUUUAACUAUUAUGUAUACUCUUGUCGUAUAUAUAUUUCGUCAUGUAUGAUUGUUGUUGGUUUGAAUGGUUUUCCUGUAUCUAAAUCCUAGCUCCACCUUGUAUAUACAUACAUUUUUUAUACACACAUAAGAAGUGAAAAGAAAUACUAGAUUGGUGAUUGAUGAAGAUAUACACAUACAUAUAGGCCUUGUUUAGAUGUGAAAAUUUUUUGGAUUUCGCUACCGUAGCACUUUCGUUUGUUUGUGGCAAAUAUUGUCCAAUUAUAGAAUAACUAGGAUCAAAAGAUUCGUCUCGUGAUUUACAGGUAAAUUGUAUAACUAGUUUUUAUUUUCGUCUAUAUUUAAUACUUCAUGCAUGUGCCGAAAGAUUCGAUGUGAUGAGAAAUCUUAAAAACUUUUUGAUUUUUAGAGUGAACUAAACAAGGCCAUACUACACAUAUAUACACAGCAUGAGGAACCGAACCGAAGUACGAAGAUGCAGUAGGAAAGGUUUGGAUGAUAUGGACGGGUGGCGGGUGGAAAAGCGUGGAGGGAGCAGCAAGCUGCAAUGAUGGGUGCGCGCAAGCCCCGCCGAGAACGCCACUUCUCCGCUGCUUUCCAUGCCCACACGCUUCAUAACAGUCCAGUCCUUGUAGUGGGCCCACGCCCCUACUGGGCUUCAUUCCACAUGAACAUCCGUGGGGCCCAUGGACCCACCACUGCCGUUUACUUCAGUUUGUAGGGCCUUGUUUACUUCUAAAUUUUUUUUUUACAAAAUAGAAAUAGUAGUAUUUUCGUUUGUAUUUGACAAAUAUUAUCUAAUUAUAAACUAACUAGGCUCAAAAGAUUCGUCUUGUCAAUUUCGACCAAACUGUACAAUUAGUUUUUAUUUUCAUUUAUAUUUAAUACUCCAUACAUACGUCUAAAGAUUCGAUGUGACGGGGAAUCUGAAAAAUUUUGCAAAAUUUUUGGGAACUAAACAAGGCUUAGGUCGUGUGUAGAAUUUCUCCCCAAUUUAGACUUUAGAUAAUGAUUAAGGACAUGUAUGUAUAUACUCCAUCCUUUAGUCUAGGCUUAGAUUAAAUAUUAGGAAUAUAAAUCAUAAAUAACUUUUAAGUUAUUAAGACCUUGUUUAGUUUCUGGACGAAAAGUUUUUGAUACUGUAGCAUUUUCAUUUGUAUUUGACAAUUAUUAUGCAAUUAUGGACUAACUAGACUUUAAAGAUUUGUCUCAUAAAUUACAGAAAAACUAUAUGAUUAAUUAUUUGUUAUCUAUAUUUAACGCCUAAGUUUUUGGAUAAGAAAUAUUGAAAAGUUUUUUGAUUUUGGAUGCAACUAAACAAGGCCUAAGUUUGGAAAUGCGAAAAUAAUUUGAAGACUGUGUUGCUAUUCAAAAGAACUUUUAGUAGCCUAGAGUGAGUACGUUUUUUGCUUAAAAACAAAGAAAAGGAGUGAAUACUGAAUAUAUGUAGAGGAUUAUUAUAGGGCAGCAAACGCACUUUCUGAUUCUGAAUCUUGCAAUGUCACACCCUGAAAACGCUGCCUUUCUUUUCGCUUUUGCAAGCAUAUGCCACCUUUCAACCCUGUAAUAGCAUCCAUUCAAGCAAUGCACGAUCGUCUAUAUUCCUCUAAAAAUAGUACAACUUGGAACCAAGGCCUUGUUUAGUUCCCAAAAAAUUUUGCAAAAUUUUUCAGGUUCCCCGUCACAUCGAAUCUUUAGACGCAUGCAUGGAGUAUUAAAUAUAGAUAAAAAUAAAAACUAAUUGCACAGUUUGGUCGAAAUUGACGAGACAAAUCUUUUGAGCCUAGUUAGUUCAUGAUUGGACAAUUUUUAUCAAAUACAAACGAAAGUGCUACAGUAUCGAUUUUGCAAAAAAAUUUGGAACUAAACAAAGCCCAAAUUGCUGUUUGAAAGACAGCAAAAAAGGAAGAGAAAAAAGGGCCCAAAAAUCAUCCUGCCUUCUGGACUCCCGGUCCUCCAAAUCGGAAUGUCGGCACGAAACACACAAGGGUGUGCAGCCUUUGGCGACACAGGUCCCUGUCAGCUGUACUGUACUGUACCACAGUGAGCUCGCCGCUCAUCACUCAUCAGUGCGCUCUCUAGAUUUAUAUAUGUAUAUAUAGAGAAAAAAAGGAAUUUGUUGGACAGUCAGAUCUUAUGAUUCUUCUGAAAUGACUGGGAAACAAGACAGCUUAUUUUGUCACACAUGUUUAUUUUCCAAAAAAAAAAUAGUCACACACACAAUGUUUUUUUUUUGAAACAAAGCAAUCGUUUUAUUGCCUUCUCACGGGUUCACUUGAAUCCCAAGUUACCCAAGAGAUUACAAACUCUGAGGGGGAUCAGUCCAGACAUAGGAUUGAUCCGGGUCCCAACUCAAGCCAACACGAGCAAGUUCAUGAGCACAACUGUUACAAGAUCGUGACGCAUGGACCACAUCUACAUGUACAAAAUUCAUAGAAAUAAGAAAUUUUGCUUCUCUAAUGAGAACACCAGCAACCGAGAAAUCAUAGUGGCAUCAUACUGGCAUGCAACAAAAUAGAACAGGUCAUCUUGUUCUUGUUUGCUUGACCUGUUCGGUUGAACUUCACACACUGACUUAUUAGCCAUGUAACAGAGUUUUUUCUCUCAAAACAAAUCAGCUUCGACUGUCAGCCGUAGAAACCAUCAACCGAACAAGCACUCCAUAUGGUGCUGAUUUCCGGUAGGCCUCUCAAAUCUCCAUGGUGCUGAUUUCCGGUGGCCACCGCGUGGUCAAUCAUCCAUGGGCGCCGGCCGGGCCGCCGGCCAAUCAUCCCGCCGCCUGGUUGGUGAGGCCGGCACGGCGGCACCCCAUCUGGUUGGUGCUGCUCGGUGGCGUCUGGCGCCCAUGGCUCACAUGCUCCCAGUCCCAGGUUUGUCUCUUUGGGACAAGGACAUGCAUCUGGUUCCUCGCCAGGACUGUGUGUUGUUCCCGUCGCCUGAGCUGUUUGUGUUGCCAACAGCACGUUGCUGCCACUGUUCAGGGGACACUGGACACGUCAUCGCCUCCCUGGCCUUGCCACCGGGCAACCUUACCUCAUGGGCAUGAAUGAGCAUCGACUGAUGCAUCACCCUCCAACAGGGUUGCAGUGUGUGGUUCCAUGAAUCUGGGCACUACUCUUUGACAGUGCCACAUAACAUGAAUAAUAUCAGGAUAUGGCACCAGGAACUCUGAUCAUUGUACAAAUGAAAAAUGUCAACAUAUCAGUGGCAUCAAGCAUUUCAGAACAGGUUCAUCAACUUAAUUACUCAAGGGGAAGAGAUGAUUUACUGUUAUUCUUCUAGCUGAAAUUCAUAAUGAACUUAUUGCUGCUAAUCAUAGGCAGGACUUUAACAUAACAUGCACCAUAAAUUAGCACUAGGUACAUACAAUGGUCCAGAACUCAUUGCCAAGCUAAGGCAUAUAUCUACAGUACAGCACAGGUUUAUUAAGUAUACGCCGACGAAAAUUUCUCACGCUAUCCCUAGCUAGGCUAGCUAGACAAGGCUCUUCAUCUUACGCCUCAGCCACAUUGGCCUAAUAUCUACACUCAGCGAGAGGAAAAUCUCCCGGUUGCUCGCGUCCAAGAAGACGUCGGGCGCCAGCGACUUCUCGACCGGCGACAGCUCCGCCAUGGCGCUCAUCACCUCGAUGCACCGCGGGAUGCUGAACCUGUUGUCCCCAUGGAUCUCUGGCUUCUUGCUCUCUCUCGGGGCAAUGGCAUGCGCUUCCAUAGCAUCAGAGGUCCCAUCCUCGCUGGGCCUCCUGGAGAAGCGCCAUAUUUCUCCACGCGGUUCCUCAACUGGCCUCCUGGAGAGCUGCCAGGAGGGUGGCUCGGGACGCACCUGAGCCAGUGGUUUAGGGUACAGGUGCCCAUUCAUGGUCUGGACUUCCACGCCGACUAGAGUCUCCUGUUGGAAUGAAGACUCCCUGGACACUGGAGACGGAGGUAUUGGGGAGAGUUGUCGGUUCAUGUAGAAGUCAUCUUCGUCGUCGCUUGAGUCAACUUCAGUCCCAUUUCUUUCUUGCAGUAUAGGUGCAGCAACACUGCUUUUACCAUCCAAAAUAACACCAACUGCAGAAUAAGAAUGAGAAAUAUCUUAGUUUCAGGAACAGGUUAAACUUGCACAUUGAAUCAUAUCUUAUCCCAUUAGUUAACAAAUACCAAGCAAGCCAUCAUCUGUUAAAAAGACAUACAUGUUACUCUUUAUCUGAACAAAAAUAGGUGGUACAAGCUGUUCAGGAAGACAGCAUAACAUAUCAGGUUAACUUCAAGAUAUCCAAAACUACCAGCCAAAACAAAACAAGCUAUUCAGGAGGCUUAGAAAACACUUAAAAUGAGGGCUUCUUUCUAUGGCCCUGAAAAGUUUACCCUCCCUUAUUUCACCCAAGGUUCAAGUUCAACUAUCAUCCCUCAAAAUGACACUCCUAUAGUCCUAUCCAACUGGUGUUAAGUGUAGUUUAAAAGGACAAUUUUGCUCUGAGGUAGAAAGUGUUCAGUUUGUACGGUAUAUCAGGUCUCUAUAUGUUGUUCUCAAAUAAAGAUCACACCAAGAUUAUGUUGUGACAUACCAACUACAAAUAUGAGAUAUACUUAACACGAAUUGAUAUUUCAGAGUGGAAACUCAAAUGUAUGUUUCCAUUUCAAAACGUCCAACAGCAGCACAGAAAGAGUACAUGCAUAGGUGUGUAUUGCCAGAUUUCAGACUUUUGAGCUUAAAUAAACAUAUCUAGUCGAAGUGGUGCCUCCACGCUACUGGCACCAUGGGUCGUUGCUCUGUUGUUGCAUAACACACAUCGCCACUCAAUAUCGGUCAUGACACCUCACCACCGCGAGUUAUGAGCUGUUACCACAGCCAUCCGUCGCCGUCGUGAGCUCACAGCAUGGGACGCCAUUGACCUGCAGUUGUCGCAUUCUGCACCUUGCUAUUGCCCACACCCACAGUGCCACCUGCUGCACACACCACCGCAACACUGCCGACCUGGCGCCGCGAACUCCAUUCGCGCAUAGAGCAUCGCCUCUGCUGCUAGACCCUGCGGCUCCCACGUAAAGCAUCAAAACCUGUGCCUUCCCACGACGACAAGGGCACCUGUGCAGCUCUCCUGGGCCUGUGAAACUCCCGCAAAGAACACCCAUACCACUCCUCGCCCAUGCCCUUCUCAGUUGGUCCCGUGACCACACGGUUCCUAGUCAGAAUAACAUCAGCAUUGCCAUCGAGCUCCUGCGGUCCUGCCUCUGGCUUGGCACAGUGCCAUCGACUGAGCUGUCCCACAACAUAAUCGAGUGAAGCCUGCCCACGCGUCCAUGAACGAGCCUGCCCCCACACCCUCCUUAGCUACAUCUGAGCCGUCACCUCUGACCACAGGUGCUUUAGGGUUUGGGAGGAUAGGGAUAGGGAGCAGUGAAUGGAUGAGCAGCUGCCCGUCGGACAGAUCACAGAUGUCCCUUGGAUGGCAGUCAUUUUACGGAUAAAAGUUCAACCUAUUGUCAAGUGAGGGAGGAUGAACUUUUAAGGGCCAUAGAAAGAAGCCCUCUCAUUUUACCAGUGCAAAUAAGGAAAUUUCUCGACUACACUUUGCAUACCAAACUAGCAUUACAGUAUCUAAUUCUAUAUUAAGACAGCACUCCAUGAAGUCAACUACUCUGAAAAAAUUACCAAAGUAUAUGUAGUUCCUCAAAAAGCAUUCUCAAGAAUAGCCUGCUUAUUAUUUCUCAUCAACUUGAGAUAGCAUGCCUUCCUAUCCUAGUCUCCUAGAUAUUGUUGCUAAGGACUCACUGCUGUUCUAAUGACCCCUAGUGGUCUUGGACCGAUCUCACAGCUAAGAAUAGCCAGCUCCAAGAUCUGCAAAUAGGGCCAUAGUAAGCUCGAUGGGGUUGGCAGUCACCUUUGUUAGAAUGCCUCCAUAGUCAAGGUUUGCCUAGAGGAAGGUGCGGUGGUUGGCUGUCAUAACAAGUUGUAGAGAUGGUACUAGGAUAUGAGUUCUAGUUGUAGAGGUUAAUUAAAAGAUCAGUUACCUUCCAACAGAACAGCCCCUGUUCCUACAGAUAGGAAAAGAGGGUAGUGCAGGCCUGCUGGGACUUUCAGAAGAGCCUUUGACCAUCUGCCUAAAUCCUCUGAUACAAUUAUACAGCAGACAACUCCUGAAAAAGCUGCUCUAGCUAGGAAGCUAACAAGGUACUUCAUAACCUCUGUAUCCAGAUUCUAAUGUCUCUACGAAAAAUGAUAGCUUCUCCCUCCCUCCCUCUAGGCCCAGGUAAGAUUGAGCAGUAACAUUGGGUGCCAGCCUGCCAGGUUCUAUUGGUGCACAGUUCCUGACAACACUAUCUAGCUGUUCCUAAGAGUGCUACAACAUAAAAUUGUUCAAAACAGUAUCAAGCAAUGAAAAAAUCACAAAUCGUGCGAAAAAACUAUCUAGUUGGCAGUUAAGGAAGAAACUUGUGCAAUACUAAGGUACCAAACAGGAUUAAACUAGAAGAUAUCUGAUGCAAAACUCCACAUUAAAAUCAUUCACUAGACUCCAUUCCAGUGAUCCAGUCCUUAAUUGCAUUACCUUUUCUCCCAAAUGGGUUUCUACAAUCAUCGCAUUUACAGUUGAUGGAGCAUCCUGCCCCUCCCUUCAAAUUAAAAAAAAAAACAUGUUUCCUUAAUCACAAACUGUCAUGAUGAAAAUGAAAAUUAACAGGACAAGGCUGAAUAUGAAACCUGGUAGCAGUCACAGUACUUCUUAAGGCAGCCUGACUUCUUGCAGGUGCAUUUUCUUCUAAUAAGAUCCAUAGGGGACCUUAUGACUUGUUCCUGAAGCCAAUAAAUAGCAGGAUCACCAAAAACAAAAUGAAAGAAAGAGUAUAAAAAGAUAUAGAUAAGGUGAUGUAAGAAGAAAUUCAUACCACUAUGUCUUGACCAGCUUCUGAUGUUUGGACAGGUUUCAGAGGUAAAAUCAGUGCAGUCCGUGGAGCAACUUGCAGUGGUUGCUUGUUUUCACAAGGUUCGCAUCCACAUGACUCAGUACAACGUGACCCAGAAGCAAAGCAUACACAAUAACUGUUGCAGAAUAACACAGAUAAUGAUUAUACACAAAAGAGAACUUAAAUUAGCAAGAGAAAACAAAAAGCAAGGCACACAAACACAUGGUCAGGUGUGGAGGUCACAUGCCAGUGCAUAGGCAAUGGCAUGCACUAAACGUCCACAAGACUACAGGUGUGUGCAUAAACCAGCCCGAUUUACUUAGCACAGUUUUUUCAACACAGCAGACUAAUCACGAUUACUCCAUGAUUCAUAAACAUAUUGGUAACUGGAUGUGAUCAGGUAUAUUGACUUUGGUUAGCAUCGACAACCAGUAGGCCAAUAUUAGUCACAAUUAUUUUGCCAAGUCUGGGCGACUGACUUGCAGCCAGUAGCAUGAGCUUGGCAAUUCUGGACCUACAGUAUAUGAGCCCAUUAGAAAUCAACAUAUGCAUGCAUACACACACAUAUUACAUUGGAAGCUCUGUUUUUUACCUAACUCCAAUCUAUUUAUUCUCUGCAGUCUCUAUUCCAUGCUCUGCAAGAUGUUAAUGCCCUCAACAUAUGAGUUAAUAGGGUUUACACAAUCAGGUACAGCCAUCAAACUAGGUAGUAGGCAGCAUGAGCCAACAGGACAACUUAGUCGACUAGCCAACAGACGAAUCAUGCAUGUGUAGUUGACUAGUUGGUAGUGGUGCAGUAACCUGGCAAGUCCACCUGACUUUAUAACUAUACUUGAAACAUUGAUUCAGCAUUCACCUUUAUUGCAAUUGUGACAUGUGUGUUAAACCCUCAUCGGCAAACUCAGCUCUCUCCACAGGAUGAGUGGUACACAGCAUUACGUCCAAAUACACCAGAAAAUGCAGCAUGCUCUUCUUCCACUGUGCAACCUCACAGCGGGAUAUAAUAAAACGAGAAGCAUCAAUAAACUUAGAACUAGCAAUGGAAUCAGCUUCUUCUCAUUAAUCUAUAUCGAAUUACGAACUGGACUACUGGAGUUACUGGUGAGCUCAAGAUGCUCAAUAAAACCGCAGCAUUUUGCUACUAGGCAGUAUGAGAUUGACGAAACAAAAAUUAGCACCGUACAUUUGAAACAUGUAAGAUUAAUCAGAUCUAAACCUGCCUAAAACAACACUGAAUUCAUCAGCGACAGCAAACCAGAUCAGCAGCGCAUCAAAAUGGUAAAACGUCCUAGGCGCACACUGACGACGACAUGUCGGACUGAAGGGGUAAAAAAGUUCGUUUUUUUUUCCUCCAGCCACACCUCAUUCAGUCAUUCCUGGUGAAACAUACACUGCGGGGCCGAACGACACAAUGGAGAAGGCUGCAAGCCCGGUGUGGGGAUGAAAGAGGGGAACUUACAGCUUCAUGCACCUGGACUUCUUGCAGCUGCAGGUCUUGCACCCGUCCCCGUCCUCCGCCUUCCUCCUGAUUGACCCAGCAAAGAGAAAAACAAAAACAGAGUGCGGAGUGAGGAAAAAUUUGUACUGUAAGCAGGAGCGAAUCGCACGCAACGAACCAAAAGAGGAAACCGGAAACUUUGCAGAAAAAGGGGAAGGCGCACGGACCUCCUCUUCCUGUCGGAGGUGCCGUUGGCCUCCGCCGGCGCCGGCGCUGGAGCUGGAGCCGGCGGCGAGACGGCCGCCGAGGCGGUGGGCGCGGCAGCCUCGGCGGCGGGGGUCAGGGCCUGGACCGGCGCGGGCGCGGGGGCGGGGGCGGGAGGUGGCGGGGGCGGAGGCGGAGCAGGAGCAGGACGAGGCGGGGAGAGGCGCGCGUCGUCGGGCUCCGAUCCGGCUGGCUCCUCCGGCAGCGGGAGAUUCGGCGCCCCCACCUCCGCGUCCAUCGGAUCGGGCGCCGCCGCCGCCGCUGGCAGCGCUGGCGGCGCCCCGAUCGGCGGCUCGGGCGGCGUGGUGGGGCUCGCCGUGGCGACGAAGCGAAGGCGAGCGAGCGCGUGAGGAGGUGCGGUCGGAAGGGGAGAGGGAGGGAGGGCACGAGGGAAGGGAGGCCAACUGGUGAAAUGGGGGGCUUAGGGUGCUUUGAGAUUCGCGUCCGCUGCUGGGGACGGCUGUGAUCGGGUGUUUCCUCCUUGGAUCCGGUUGGGUUCCGUUUCGACCUGGGCUGGCUUUUCUCUGGUCACAAAACGUGAUUAGCACACACACGCAGCAUAAAGCCGCAAGCUUUUUCUUUUGUUUUGGCAGGGUGUGAUUGGUAGUGGAGUGAUUAAAUACUCAACUUUUUUUGUAAAUUUUAGACACAUAACCUUUAUUAUAUAUCUAGACAUAUACUACAUCUUUCUUUUUCCAGAAAACAUGUACUACAUCUAGAUUCAUAACUUCUGCUAUGUAUAUAGAAAAGUCAAAAUGACUUAUAAUUUAGAAUGGAUGGAGUAGUAAAAUAUUAGCAGUUAAAUUCCAAAUCAUGUGCUCCAGAUAGAUUAGUAGCAGAUGAAAUAAUAAUCGGGUUUGUGGUGUGCAAAUAUAAAUUCCCACGAAUCCAAAUGUUAAAUGAAUACGAGCAUAGAUAGCUAAAAUGAAUGUUCCGAAUCCUAUGCUCUAGAUGAAUUAGUAGCAGCUCGAAUAUUAAUUGGAUUUUUUUUUUGGUGUGUAGAUAUGAAUUCGCACAAAUCCAAGAAUGAAAUGAAUACGAGUAUGGAUAGCAAAAAUGGAUACUGCCAUAUUUAUUGCUCUGGAUACAGUGUUUUGGUAAUUCCUCUUGAUUUUUAAAUUUGCUACAUCUCUUGCCGGCACGCUCUCUCUUCCACUGCUUCAUGCUACAUCUACAUCACCUUUUGUCUUUUGCGCAAAAAUAUCACUUAGGCCUUGUUUAGUUUACUCCAAAAAUAAAAAACUUUUUAAGAUAUUUCCAUCACAUCGAAUCUUGCAAGACAUGUAUGGAGCAUUAAAUAUAGAUGAAAACAAAAACUAAUUGCACAUUUUGUCUGUAAAUCGCGAGACGAAUAUUUUAAGCCUAGUUACUCCAUGAUUGGACAAUGUUUGUCAAAUAAAAACGAAAGUGCUACAGUAUCAAAAUUCAAAAAAAUCGGAUCUAAACAAGGCCUUAGUUCACUCUAAAAAUCAAAAACUUUUCAAAAUUCUUCGUCACAUCCAAUCUUGCAGCACAUGCAUAGAGCAUUAAAUAUAGAUAAAAACAAAAACUAAUUGCACAGUUUGUCCGUAAUUUGCGAGGCGAAUCUUUUAAGCCUAGUUACACCAUGAUUGGACGAAAGUAAUAUAGUGUCAAAAUCUAAAAACUUUUUGGAUCUAAACAAGACGUUCAAGUUAAAAAAAAGAUAAGAUAGUAAUUAGAGUGAUGUAUAAGAAGUGGGAAAAGAUUGCCUUAAGCCAUCAGUGAUGUUAUCUCUGAGAAGUGUUCUUUUAAAAAGUAUAUAUGACAUAAGUGGGACCAGGGAAAGCAUGCAUUAGGCUCAAAAUCUUUGCUUGUCGACAUGGCAAGAGUGAGAGUAUGCAUAGACUUGGAUGGUGUGCUCUGCAUUACGGGAAUUUGAUUCAUCUGACUGAAUAGUGACGCACUUUCAUUUCAUCGUGUACUAUGCAUUGCCUUGUGACCGAGGCUGGCAAUUUGACAUGUCUAUGAGUUUAUCGUGCAUAUUCUAGCCAAGACCAAACCAAACAAAAAAAGAACACAUUGGUUCACGCCUUGUGAUCUUGCAUGCAAAUUUCCGUCAAGGUGCAUGUCGUUAUCGAUGAGUGCCGUUUUGACGUUGGUCAUGGAUACUAUCGCGUUCGGCCAUGCCGUCCUACGGACAGCGCCAAUUCUCUAGCUUGAAUUGGGACGUCAGUAUGGUCCUUUGGUGGCUGCCAAGUGCCAACAAGUUGCCAAGGAAUUGGGUGAUUCUUUGGUCAUUUUUAUUUAGAAAGUAUGGACGACGUAUAUGUAACUACGCAAGGGGAGGAAUGGACAGGUGUUUGUUUCAGCGUACGUCACUCGCUCGGUGCUGCUGACCUGACAAGGGCCUUGUUUAGUUUCCAAAUCUUUUUAGUUUUAGUCACUGUAGUAUUUUCGUUUUUAUUUAUUAAUUAUUAUCCAAUCAUGAACUAAGGCUCAAAAGAUUUAUCUCGCGACUUACAGAUACACCGUGUAAUUAAUUUUUAUUUUUAAAUAUAUUUAAUGCUCCAUGUAUAUGAAGCAAAAUUCGAUACGAUGAAAAAUCUUGAAAAGUGACCAAGACGUACGGAGCUGCUGGGUGCUUGGUGCAGUGCAAGCCGCCAAUAGGAAGAUUGGUGGAUGUGCAUUGGAUUCUUUUGGGUUUUUUUUCUACUACUAUUCAAAACCUGUUCUGGAUGUGCACUUGGUUGCUUCUCGUAAACUCUUUUUUUCCUUCUUCUUGGGGCUUGUUUAGUUUCAAUUUUUUUUUUUUUUGCAAAAUAGACACUAUACCAUUUUUGUUUAUUUAACAAAUAUUAUCCAAUUAUAGACUAACUAGACUCAAAAGAUUUGUCUCACAAGUUGCAAGCAAAAUUGUGCAAUUAGCUCAAAAGAUUUAAUGCUUUAUGCAUGUACUGCAAAAUUAAAUGUGACGGAGAAUGUAAAAACCUUUGCAAAAAUUUUUGGAAACUAAACAAGCCCUUAACGAAACACAUGCUCGGACACGUUCCUGGAAAAAAAUAUAAAAAUAGUUUGACCUUAGAUAAAUAAGUCUUGCGGUUCAACCUCCAUAAAUAAAAUCUUAACAGUUCUGUCAUUAGGUACAUACAAAUUCCACGUUUUUUGAUCCCAGAUAAUGAACAUAAAUUAUACAGACAUACAGUCACAGGAAACACGACGACGUCCUUUGAGCUAAGACAUAAUUUACCAGCAAACCAAAUGCCACUGGUGAUUUUGGGAGGUAGAAUUCUGCCAUCACACAGUGGAUUAUUAUAGCAUCACAUAAAUAAUCGUUGACCAAGAGAAAUCGAAAUGGUGAAACGAAGUCCAUCACUAUCUGAUGGUAUGAUAGAAACAAUUCUGGUGCAUUCGGCAGGUGGGCGAUCUUGUGAACCAACAGGAAGGGCCUGUACAGAAAGACACAUUAGAUGAGUUGAGACAGGGAAGAGGAUUAACAUAUCAACAAGCAAGGGUAAUGAGAGAAAAAUAGAGAGGCAAAGAAGUUGACCACGAGGGGCAGAAGAUGAUAAAUUCAAGGCGCUGGCAAUUUGGCCUUGGGAUCCUCAUUGUUUACGUCGCCACCAAGGGAAGGGAAAGAAGGGAUGGACUUGAGAAUCAGCUUCCUGCCAAUCGUACAGAUUGGAGAUAGCCGAGUACCCAUUCGUGGGGGAGAGAUUCGCUUCUUGUUUGGUGACACGACUUUAACAGAAGUUUGAGGAGAUGAAUUUCCAUUUAGGAUAUCUGAUGUGCUAUCGCCAAGUACCAUUUCUGGGUAGUUUUCGAAUGGAGAGAGCAUAAUGUCAGUCUUUGGAGGAGCUUGUAAGUUGCACAGCCGAGAAGGAUGUCCAGUGAGUUUUGUUGAAGAUCGUGGUUUUUUGGAGCUUUUCUUGGAGCUUGGGGGUGGAAGACAAGCCAAGGGUCUGGGAAAAGCAAAAUGCAUUAGAAUUCAGUAUAUAUUACAUAAGAGGCAGGAUUCGCAGUAACAGAUGUGUAUCUUGCAAACAUAUGACAUACAAACCUGCACUCCACCAUGGAAGGUGUGGUCAGUACAUUCUCAGCAGGAGCAGUGUCAGCAGUUUGGUAGAUGACAAGCUGUUUAUCGAUUUCACUUUUUUCUUCUUUCACACAAACAUUCUUUUUUUCCAAUCCCUGCUUAGGUUCCUCUAUGCCUAGCACAGCAGCCCCUUGAAUCAGGUUCCAAAAAAAAUACUUUAGAAAAUAGUAGUUUUUUAUGGAUAGCAGAAUGUAGGACAUGGUUAGUUGGUUACUGAGACAAAAAAUGAAAUAGCUAAGCUAGCCAUAGUCUUACUUCGUAUAAUAACCAAAAGUUUGGAUCUAGUAUUGUAUAUGGCACCCUUUCAGAAUGAUAUAGCUAAAUUGAAGCAUCUUGCUUUAAACAAACCAAACAUCAUACAACACAAGCUAAUCUUAGGCAAGUUUUACCAAGUAGUGGAGUUUCUGUUGAAAAUAUAGAAGCACACCAAUUAACAAUCAUAGCACUAGUAUGGUCACAACAUUGUUUGAAACUAUACUGUGGCCAUUUCCAGCAGAAGCAGAACUAAAUUAUUUUGUCGAAGAGACAGACCCCAACUCCAAACUGAAGCAGCAUAACCAGAUUACCAUGGCGAUUUAGGAGACAACAAAUUAAAGCGUACUCCAAAAUUAAAUAAGGUAGCAAGAGAUACAACUCUAAUAUGUGCAAAGGUCUUUUUUUUUUUGCUUUUCUUAAUAGGUAACUAACUAACAGAGGGAAUAUAUGGUAUUACAUUUUCAGGUUGAAAGGUCAAACAUGAGGUCCUAAAGAACUCAGUGAGUCCAGAUUUCAUGUGAAGUUAUAACUAGUACUAUUGAUUGGAACCAUCUCUUAGCUGCUUUUGUAACUUGUAUAUUGAAUAUGACUGCAUGGCACAUGGGUGCAAGUGCAACUAUGAACUUAGAGCAUGCAUGUUGAUGUUGCAGUUGUUUAUAAAACAGAAGCUUAUGAAAAAUGGAUUUGACUCACCCUCCCGUUUUCCAAAAGCAUUCUUACAGCCCUCGCAUCUGCAACUUAUGGAGCAUCCCACACCGCCCUUGAUGAAGAGUAAACAUAAGAUGCAUACAAAGGGAUUAAGAAGAAAAGAAAGAGCACUAAAUCAAUGUAGGACUUGAAACCUGAAAACAUUCACAGUAUUUUUUUAGACACGACGACUUCUUGCAAUUGCAUCCUCUUUUGUGACGAGCUGAAGCAGGAGUUUUAUUAGAGAAGUCCUACAAUAUUGAAGAUAAUGAUAUUAGCAACAGACAAGACUAAAGGAAGCACUUAAGUACAAUAAGUUAGUGCCUCUUACCCCUAAUUCCAGACCAGACUCAGAUGUAUGAAUUACUUUAGGAGCAAAUGCUAAUGGAUUGCGAGAUUCAAUCUGUUGACGUGUAGAUAGAACUGUUUCUGUAUGACUCUGGUUGUUCAGACAGCCGAUACACGAACAAGGCUCAGAACAAUAGACUCCAGCGGCAAAACACUCACAGUAACUGCAUGAAAUUAAGCAAAAAAAAAUUAUCAUGUAACAGACACCAGACAAUCUAUCACUGUAAAGACAGUUUGCCACGAAUAGAACAUGGAUCCCUUCUCCCUUCAAAAGAGUCAGAGCCAUGAAACUAAUUCAGGAAAGAGUAAACAUUCAUUAGAGAAGGGUCAGACACUCAGACCAGACAAAAUAUCAGUUUGAAGAUAGAAUUUGAAAGGAAUAGCAUGGAAAGAACAUGGGUAACUCUUGAAAAGGAUCAAUGUUUUGAACCUAGUUCAGAACAGGGUGAACAUCCAUUAGAGAGGUCAGAUGGAUGGCAAUGACUUCAGGUAGAACGGCAAGUGAAGGAGUGAAUCAUUUAGGGAGGGAUAAAUCUAGAACAGCUAGCCAAAAGAAAUUAGCAUGGCACAGAUUUUAUUAACUGGGACUUUUUUAUUAAAUAAGGUAAGAUGCCAUUAUUUUUUGCAGGAAUUAUGUGACUUGUCCUAUAAACAAUCAAUCUCAAAUAAAGAAAUAUACUUGCUGAAAAUAAAUAUCACAACUAAGUCAUUAUUAUCCCUGAUAAAGGGAGUAAACCAACCAAAAAUAGAAUCCAUGAUGAACGCUAAUGAGCAUAUUAGUGUUAUUCAUGAAUACAGGAAUAAACAAGGUAACCAGGUAUAGAGAUGACUGUAAAUCAAAACUUGAACACCUCGCAACUUGAUUAGGAUUGAUAGAACUAUUAACUGAAUGCUGUUACUAGCCUACUUCAACUUGCUUGUGACUAGAAGACUAUUGUACUUGUUAUUUAACAUUCUGCCCAAAACUGAAAAACACUUAAACAGUAUAAUGGCAGAUACACCUACAUGGCUAUACAUCUUAGUCAAGGAAAAACAUGAACGGAUAAAUGAUUAAUCAUUUAAUCCUAACCAGAGUUAUUCAUAAGUCAUAAACAACAGCACCUUUUUCAUACAAUGAUACCUAAAAUGAACCAAAUAUUCAAACUUACAGUUUCAGGCAUUUUGACUUCUUACAACUACAACGCUUGCAUGAAGUGCCAUCACCAUUAUCAAACUUCUGCCUGGAAAAUACUAUUGCAUUUUAUGAUUUUUCCAAUGAAAUAGUGCUAUUUGACCCAAAAUAAUAGUCAAAGACAUAGUACCUUUUCUUCUUGGGACUACCCUGACUAGAAGCUUCGGCAGUUGCAACAUCAGUUGUUUGAUUGAAAUCAUCAUUAAUAAUGAUUUGCUCAGAAGGUGCUGGAGAAGAUCCAGAAGGGCCUAUCAAGUUACUCAAUUCAUUUAUAGUAGACUGAAUCUCUAGUUUCUCUUUAGGUAUUGCAGCAAGGGCAUUCAAGUGCAAGCCAAUACCAGGCAAUGCACAUGGAGGGGUUCUUAGAGGCUUUGAGUUGUCACCAGAAAUAGUUUUGCAUUUGGGGGUAGUUGAAUUUACAGGAUGAUGAUCUGAAGCUUUGUCUACACCUUUAUUACUAACCCCAGCCUUUUCGUUGAAAAGGCUGCGCCUACGCAUGCCACGUAAAUGCUGUGGCAAGGCCUGAAAUAGCAGAAACAUGUCCUUUUAUAAGAAAAAAAAACAUUGAUAGUUCAGCCAAAUUAGCACAGCCUAUACAAUACUAUAUUUACAGGAAAGAAAAUGCUAUAAAGCAAAGAGAGCUGAAUACUGGUGGGUGAUGGCAAUAUUGUUAACACGUGGACACAAGAUUAUGCAAUUUAGAGCAAUACAGUGCACAAGGCACAUGAAUGGAAAACUGCUAAUAAACAUGUUGUUAAAUCCAUUCUCGUACAUAUAGUAUCCAAGCUAAUAUUAGUUUGUAUGUACAGAUGUAUUGCACUAGUCUUCAAAUUAGAUCAAGCCAAUUACCACUUAAUCACAAAGCAAGCAUUAGUAAAGCCAAUAUACAAAACUUUUAAAUGAUAAUUGAUAACACAAAGCAUACAUACAUUUUGCUCAGUAGGCAUGUGAUCUUUUGGCUCAUUGAGCUUGUUACAUGGCAUCAACUGACUUUGCAAAGCACCAGGGAGUGUUUGGGGAGUAUAAGCUACUGCAGCCCCUUCAACUGCCCCAGUCCAGUACAGAUGGGGUUCAUGCACAGAAUUUUGGGCGCAAUAUCCACUUGGCUGAUCAUCCAAAAAGGAUUCACAAGAGUAGGGAUCAUCAGACUUUUGUGUAUCAUCCACUGGUUGUGUUUCUGUGCCAGAUGUUACAGCUAAAGUCAGCAUAUCACUACUUGAUUGGUGUGUAAUCAUGUAAUCCCCAUUAUAUGCUGCAGGUUCAUCAUUGUUUUGUUCAGAUAGCUGGUUUUCAUGAACAACUAUCCCAGAAUGUGAUGAAUCCAUUUUGUCUAGGCCACUCUCAUCAAGGUUCAUACCUUCUAGUCCUGUGCACUCCUGGGACAUGGUAAGGUCUGUUUUACCGUCACCGCACUGAUCCUUAUUGCUUUCCAUACUGCCAGCAGCAUCCUGUAUGGAUUGACUCAAUUGGCCUGUAGAGUUUGAUGUAUGAUCUGAAGAAUCAAUAGAUGCCUCGUUUAGUUGACAAGUGAUAUUGCAACUCUCUGACACAAUGUCUUUGCAUCUGAUCAUUCUAAAAGAGCCUGAGGGACAUAUUCGAGUCCUGACACUGCUAGGUGAGUGCAAUUCUUGAGGAAGCUGAACAGAUUCAUCCCUACCAGCAUGAAGUACAAACUGUAAGGCAGAACCAAGACAGAUACAUAAAAGUCGACAUUAGCUAGAAAGCAUAGGGAAAAUUGAAAAUUACCUGAUCAAAACUUUAGUUUCCUUUGCUGGAUUAACAUGUGGUGAGGCAAAGAUCGAAGAAACAGGCGCCAAAUCUGAUGACUUGAAUAGCUGCACAUUAUGUGCUGUGUCUAAAGGUUUAGGCGGUGGUAUAGGCGAGAGAUUGUUGAUGAAAUUGAAGACAGGAGAAUCCUGCAAGCAGUAAAAUCAAAUUAGAAAAUUUAAGCCACUGGUCUUUAUUUCAUCACUAAAUAUGAAAGCGAGCUUAGGUGCCCUGAUGUCAAUCAAUUGAGGAUUGGCCAAAUCCAAACCAUGACCCUUUUUUUAGCAAAUAGAGAUUACCACAAUCUUGCGUAAGAAGGAAGUCUGCCAAACCACCGUAACUUACACCAACUUUUGCCCCAACCCACUUAAGAGAAAACACACAUGCAGGCAAAACAAGACCAGCAUAUCCAAAGUAACGCACAGAGUUGCAUGCAUUAAAUAGGAUACAAGUUUAUCUAUUACGAGUGCUUCAUGAAUACUUGAAUUGUGAUGGCAAAGUAACUCUGCUGAUUGGAAAGCAGUCUUGCAAGGAACCCCAAGGCACAUUGAAAGGCCUCGAAUGAUGAGCUAAACAAAUGUAGCAUUGCUGAGACAUAUAACAGUUGCAUAAGACAAUGAAGUGAGGAUUGGCUAAAUCCAAGCCAUGACCCUUUUUUUAGCAAAUAGAGAUUACCACAAUCUUCUGUAAGAAGGAAGUCUGCUAAACCACCGUAACUCACGCCAACUUUUGCCCAAACCCAGUUAAGAGAACAAAAGCACAUGCAGGCACAAUAAGACCGGCAUAUCCAAAGUAACGCACAGAGUUACAUGCAUUAAAUAGGAUACAAGUUUAUCUAUUGGCGAGUGCUUCAUGUAUACUUGAAUUGUAACGGCAAGUAAGAUAGUUAAGUGCCUCUGCUGAUUGGAAAGCAGUCUUGAAAGGAACCCCAAGGCGGUACCGCACAGAGUUGCAUGCAUUAAAUAGGAUACAAGUUUAUCUAUUACGAGUGCUUCAUGAACACUUGAAUUGUAACAGCAAGUAAGAUAGUUAAGUGCCUCUGCUGAUUGGAAAGCAGUCUUGAAAGGAACCCCAAGGCGGUACCGCACAGAGUUGCAUGCAUUAAAUAGGAUACAAGUUUAUCUAUUACGAGUGCUUCAUGAACACUUGAAUUGUAACAGCAAGUAAGAUAGUUAAGUGCCUCUGCUGAUUGGAAAGCAGUCUUGAAAGCCCAAGGCACAUUGAAAGGCCUAAAAUGCUGAGCUAAUCAAAUGUAGCAUUGCUGAGAGAUAUAACAGCAGCAUAAGGGAAUGAAAUGAGGGCUAGGACGUCGUGAUUGCCAAUAAAGUCUUUCGAUGACAAAGCAAUGUGAAUGAUCACAGAAACUCAUAUCCAAAGCUACACGCAGUUUCCUCAGCUAAAUGAACAAACGACCUCAGUUUCCAAAGCUACACGCGGGAGUUCGUCAGCCAAAUGAACAAACUACAUCGGACUCUGAAUAAGAAGUCGCAUUUCCCAUGGACAGAAGACCACCCACCAAACGUAUCAAACUAGCAGGCAAUGCUGCGAUUUUGCCGAUCUACGCACUAGCGUUGGAGAUCCAAAAGCUCCGAACCCACCAUUUCCUAACAAUGGACACAUCAGAGCUUGUCAAAUCCACGAUGUGGCAAUCCAAAUGGACAGACACCGCCCCAGAACUCACCGAAUCAGCAGGCCAAUCCGUCCAUCUUGUAGAAAUGGUUCGUCCCAGAGGGUUGUGCAGGCAUUUGCUAAGCCCCCAAAUCCCCAAGCCCCGACAGCAGGGGGGGUGCGUCGAUCAGAACCCUAAUCGCCCAACCACCCGCCGAAAUGCGGCAUCCCAGUCCCCCAAAACAAAUCACCAAAAAAAAAAAGGUCAAUCAAAUGCGGGCGCAGCAAAUCGCAUCGGCCGCGCAAGCCAGCCGGCCGCCGACCGACCGACCAAUCCAAUCCAAUCCAAUCCAAUCCAGGCACUGCCGCGCCUACCCACGAACUUCCCCGCCCCUGCCCCGACUCCUAAACUCCCCAGAAAAAAAAAAUGCCCCCCCAAAACCCCACAUCAGAACAUCGAAAUCGGUGGGGGAAACAAAGCAUCAGCAGGGGCGCGAGCGAGAUGGCGGACCUCGAACCCGGCGGCGGCGGCGGCGCGGGGCCUAUCCGGCGUGUCCAUCUGGUCGGGGGACCUCCCGCAUCUGCCUCCCCCUCCCGGCCUCCUUCCCUUCCCCGCCGCCUCCUCCUCCCCGCUCCUGCUACUGACGAGUGACGAUGAGCCCCCAGCACCAGCACCAGCACCACUAGUCCUAAUACUAGUAAUUUUUCGUGUUCUGCGAGUGCGAGUCUGCAGCGACUGCGUCACCCACCCCAGAGCUCCCGCCGCGUGCGGUCGGCUCGGCUGCGGCUCGGGUAGUCGGGUCGCGGGGGCCGGGUACUGCGGGUGCGUUUCAAGGAGGCGGCCAUGGGCGGGAACCCCCCAGGUUUUCGGCGGUGGGGGCCGAGCUGUCAGUCAGUGGGGACGGGCGCCUGGGCCAUGGGCCGCCCGCCGCAGCCAAAAGGCCAGUUUCGGAUUGGGCCUUCCAUGUGGGAACGGGAGAAAGAUUUUUUUCUUUAUAUUUUUGAGUAGGACAUAAACUGAGGAUUUGAGAUUCACCUGGCCGAUUUACGAGGCCAGGCUGGAACUUUUCUUGCCCCUUUUGCGUAGUAUAGUAGCUUAUAUUUGGAAGAAUGUUGUUGUUUGGGAGGGGCGCUUGUACGUGGAAAAGGGAAACAAAGCCCCCAAAAAUAGUUGGAGGGGGCUUUAGUUAGCUGUGCCUUUCCAUUUUACUGUAUGAUAACCUUUAUUUCAUCUUCGAAUUACGUACCUAUUUUUAUUAUGUAUGCUAAUCAUUGAUUAAUAAUAAUGGUAUAGUUUGGCAGAUGGUUAUGAAUUUGCGUGGCAUGGAAGUUGCAAAUGGUAGUUGACAUUAUGCAUUUCCAGGAAAGGUGAACGCUAGACCUCGUGUAAUCUCUUCCAGCUCUCGUUUGCAUCGUGGCGUAUUUUGUUAAUGGUUUGUUUAGGAGUCCAAUGGAUUCAUUUAUGUUUUUCUAAACGAGUUGAUUUGCAGCAUCUGGAAAAAAAGAAGAAACAAGACUAUCAACGACCUCGUCUUUAUCUUUUUCCUCUCACAUCCUCUUUAUCGCUCUUAUUCACCACCUUUUUGUUCGCAUGAACUUAUCAGCCAAAAUCAACUGAUAUAGGACAAUGUUUUUUUUCUCACAAUAACUUAGUAUUAGCAUCAACAUCAACAAAAAAAAAACAGAGCCUCCAAUGCCACAUUUGGGGCAGCACCCCCUUUUGCCUCCAUUUACCUCUCGCAAUCAUCGAUGAUUCAUAGCGCCACCCACUGACAUGGUUGUUGAUGCUUGCUUGUCUCUCCCUUAGCCACUUUAUUGAGUUGACCACGCAUCGAUCCUUUUAUUCUACUCCCUUGAUUUUAAAUUAUAAGGCGUUUUGACUUUUCUAAAUAUGUAAGUUUUGUUGCACACUUACAUAUACAUUAUGUCUUGAAACAUAAUAAAAGCUUUUCAAAAAAAAAACAUAAUAAAAAGCAAUAUAUCUAAAAAACAAAAUGUCAUAUAUUUUAAAACUAAAGCUUUGUCUAGUUCGCAAAAAAGAAAAGAUUUUAGGUACUAUAGCGCAUGUGUAACUAUAGCAAUUAGUAUCCAAUUAUAGAUUAAUUAGGCUUAAAUGAUUCAUCUCACAAAAUACAUACAAACUGUGUAAUUAAUUUUUUAUCUAUAUAAAAUGCUUAUGUAUGUAUCAAAAAAUCUAAAUAUUUGAUGGGAUGAGUAAAAAGUUUUUAUGUAAAAACUAAACGAGACCUAAACGGAGGAAGUACUAUGCUCCACAAUCAAAAGCAGUAUGCCUCCACUGAGCCGCGCCAUCGCUUCCUCAUUCGUCGAUACCCUACCACGAUUGGCUACACCGGCUAAUGACAUCCAUGACCAUCCCUCUAGCAUUGGAAAUAGAAAAUCCAUUGCGCCUGUCCCUCUAACGCCGGAAAAUCUGACCCUAAAUAUUUCGAAACAUCACGAAGGAGGUUCUCAUUCUUACUUGCUACAACGUUGCAAUUUUUUACACUUCGCUCCUUGAACUCCUUUCUCCGUUUCAAAUCAUAUAGCAACUUUUCCUUUGGACAAUAUAGAUUUCUAAAUCCAAGAGGCUCUCAUGUUAGGAUGAAACAAAAAGCUUUCUUUUAUUCUUUUUUUUUGUUUGAGAAUCAUAGUAAGGUGUACACUGUAGACUCAUGCGUCAGAUCUUGCAUCUCUCACUAUUACUAAAAAAACACUGUUAAAAUCCUAACAAACAUGUCUCUAGCAUGUCUUUAUUAUUGAGAGAACAACGCCGCUAAAUUCAAACGUAAAUAAAUUUAGAAAAAUACGAACACUUAUAUCAAGUCUAGAACUUAGAUUAAGAUGGCAUGUUUACCACAAAUAACCUAACCCACUAAGACCUUGUUUACAUACCAACUUCACGCUAAAUCACUGCACACACACAUGUAUUGGCGUUGAUACAUGAGUAAGAAGCCUAAGCUUCUUCCUUUUUAGCAAACACCCGGCCUACCGACUAAUAAUAAGUCGGGAGCUAGUAAAAUAUUGAUUUCUGCAUAACUCAUAUACAAAAUCCUUAUAUAUAAAAUACUGAUUUCUGCAUAAUUUAUACAAAGGUCUUGUUUAGUUCCAAAAUUUUUAGUAAAAUAGACACUCUUCGUUUGUAUUUGAUAAAUAUUGUCUAAUCAUAAACUAAUUAGGCUUAAAAGAUUUGUCAUGUAAACUGCAUAAUUAAUAAUUUUUUUUUAUCUAUAUUUAAUGUUCUAUGCAUGUGCCGAUGUGAUGUGACGAAGAAUUAAACAAAUUUAUAAAUUCUUUUUAUAGAACUAAACAAGGCCAAAAUCCUUCUAUUUCUAUUAAUCGAUUUAUUUAUACCAUCCGAGUCACCCCAGCAAGUGCUUGUGUUGCUCCCGUCAUCCGUUCCGACACGCUCGCGCUGGAAGGGAGAGACGUCGCGGACUCGUCUGACCAGUCACCGCCCUUAUCCUGCGCUGCGGGACCAAUCAGCCCCACACCACACUGACGACGCCCAUGCUGCUCUGCUCAUCAUCUCCUAUUUCCCCGACCCGUCGCCGCGCCACUCCUCCGCCUUGCUCACCACCACUGCUGCUCUCCCAAGCCUCCAGCCCAACCACCGCCACCGCCACCGCGUGAUGGCCUCCCGCCUCCUCCACCUCCACCUGCGCCGCGGGCGCGUGCGCGUGCGCGGCGGGAGCCCGGCGGGCAGCCCCGUGCCCGCGCCCGCGCCCGCGCGGCUCCUCUCCUCCUCGCCUCCUCCAACCGCGUCCUCGGCCUCGGCGGGCGGUGGCGGGGGCAUCGAGAAGGUGCUGGUGGCGAACCGGGGCGAGAUCGCGUGCCGGGUCAUGCGCACCGCGCGCCGCCUCGGGGUCGCCACCGUCGCCGUGUACAGCGACGCCGACCGCGGCGCGCUGCACGUGCGCGCCGCCGACGAGGCCGUCAGGAUCGGCCCGCCCCCCGCGCGCCAGAGCUACCUCAACGCCGGGGCCAUCAUCGACGCCGCACUCCGCACCGGCGCACAGGUCCGAUUACCACCAACCCCCCCCCCCCCCCCCCCCUGUCCACUCGUCGCUGUCUCGCUCAUUAUUUCCCCACUAGCUUGUCUGCGUCUCGAGUCGCGUGCGCUGCCGUGUCACUCUGCCAAGGUGGGUGGGCUACUGAGCUGUCUCACUAUGCAUACUGAUUGUUGGUCGUUGCUGAGCAUCCCGCGCCACACAAUUCCACUGUAGGUGAUACACUACCAGUUAGCGUCUGAACCUCUGUAAUCCUUCCACAUUCAUCAGUCCUCGAGUUGUGUCGAAUUAGUAUUGGGUGCUAGUAGAUCACAUUCCCGUGAAGAUACAAGAACCGUGUCGUAGGGAAAUAGUGUGCAAGUGGAAAACAGUACGAAAGUUUUGGUGUGCCAUGAUGCAGGCACGGAUAUUUAUGAGACAUUUUUUGUUUCUAUUUGCUUUGUGCAGGCUAUCCAUCCAGGAUACGGUUUUCUCUCAGAGAGUGCUGAUUUUGCGCAGCUCUGUGAGACCGAGGGGCUCAAAUUCAUUGGACCACCAGCAUCUGCGAUCAGAGAUAUGGGCGAUAAGAGGUAAAAUAUCUUGUUGUCUGGUGCGUGCAUACAGAUUGUUUUGUUUGGGCUCUUGUUCAGAACGGUGCACCCUAAACAUGAUUUGUGAAAUAUAGUGCAUCCAAGAGGAUCAUGGGUGCUGCUGGCGUGCCGCUGGUUCCAGGAUACCAUGGGGCUGACCAAGACAUUGAGCUGCUGAAACUUGAAGCUGAUAAAAUUGGUUAUCCUGUUUUAAUCAAGCCCACCCAUGGUGGAGGGGGCAAGGUAUGCUGAACUGUUUCUUAGACUGUCUCAUACAGGAAAAGUGUUUAUUCCAAUUUAGGCCUUGUUUAGUUCCGAAAAGUUUUUGGGUUUGGUUACUGUAGCAUUUUCGUUUUAUUUGGCAAUUAAUGUCCAAUCAUGGACUAAUUAGGCUUAAAAAAUUCGUCUCGCGAUUCUGUGCAAUUAGUUUUUGUUUUCAUCUACAUUUAAUGUUCCAUACAUGUGUCCAAAGAUUCGAUUUGAUGGGUGAAAAGUUUUUGGGUGGGGACUAAACAAGGAGUUACUAUGCAUAUAGCUUUCAAGUGUUCCAGAGAAGCCUGCUCUGUAGUUGCAUGACCUAUCAUAUGUGUGUCGUGUGUGUAACCUUUUCAUCCUAUAUCCUUUCUUAAGGGGAUGAGAAUAGUCGAAAGGCCUGAUGAAUUUGUGGAUGCUGUACUGAGCGCUCAACGGGAAGCUGCAGCAUCAUUUGGUGUAAACACACUACUGAUUGAGAAGUACAUUACUCAACCAAGACACGUAGAAGUCCAGGUAAGUCAAUUGAAUUUGGACCUGCCACAGUCCUUUAUAUAAUUGGGAACCUGCAGUAAUUCCCUGUUGUCUUCCCUCAUACUCCUUUGAUGUUUGAAGGUAUUUGGCGACCAACAUGGAAAUGCAAUAUAUCUCUAUGAGAGAGACUGCAGUCUACAAAGAAGGCAUCAGAAGAUUAUUGAGGAAGCUCCAGCUGUAAGGAUCUGUUAUCCAACAAAACCCUGUAACUUGCUUGAAAACAUAUUGAUGAAGCUCUAAGGCCUUGCUAGCUGUUUGUGCCCUGACAUUUAUUUUGAUAGAAUAAUCGAUUCAGUUGUCUUUUUGUAUAUGGUGCAGCCAAAUGUGACAGCUGAGUUUCGGUCUCAUAUUGGUGGAGCUGCUGUAUCUGCCGCAAAGGUGAAUGCUUCUGAACAUUAGUAUGUCUUUAGGAGACAAAUUUAGUGUUUUCAGUUUGCUAUUGUUGGUUAAGUUUUUCUUUUCAUUAUCUAGCUGCCAAUUUUUUUCACACCAAUAUGGAAUGACAAAUGUCCAAGCAAUUUGCUUCACAUGAACUCCAGUUCAAAGUUACAUGCAUUAUCUAGUAGUUCAUGUCAGAUGUCAGUCAACUUUUUCUUGAAUAAUACUCAAUAGUAGCCAUCUUUGUUUUCUCUGUUGAUAUGUUAUUUAGUAGUUAUUCUGUUUAAUCCUUCUAUUUCACAUACAGGGUCACUUAUUGGAUUAUUUGUGUUGAAGGCAGUUGGUUACUACAAUGCUGGAACAGUGGAGUUUAUUGUGGAUACUCUUUCUGGAGAGUUUUAUUUCAUGGAGAUGAAUACUCGACUCCAGGUAAUAUAUCUACGAUAAUAAUCGGAUAUGCUUGAGUACCUUGGCUUUGCAUGGUACUUCAUUGACUCACUUGGUUAAAAGUCUAAAACACAAAAUCAUCUUGUGAAUCAAUCUUGGAAGGUUGAACACCCAGUGACAGAGAUGAUUGUUGGUCAAGAUCUUGUGGAGUGGCAAAUACGUGUUGCAAAUGGAGAACGACUGCCAUUAUCUCAGGAGCAGAUUCCAUUAAAUGGUGAACCUUAACAAUAACUCAUUAUCUUACCCAAAAACUUUACUGAUAAUUUCUGAUUGUCAUGUUGUCUCUUGGCUACUAUAGUUUGUUUGCAUCAUGAACAGCAUUGUCCAUCUUAUCUAGUUCUAUUUGGUCCAUAAAUUUGAAGAUGCCGCCUUUAAUUAUUGACUUAACAGUUCACAGUAAUGCACUGAUUUGAUACAUUUUUGGACUCGGAUUACAUCAUGGCAUUCAACUGUUUUUCAUGCAACUUUCCUUCUGUGCACAGAUGCCAUUUCAUAAGGCAGGGGGGCUGAGCCCCAAUAGUCCUUUUCUACAAGCUGUUUUUCAUACAUUAUCACUUCAUUACUUGUACCCAAGUACCCAUUAAGAAAUUAAGAAAUUUAUUUAUGAUUGUGGAAACUGAACUUACAUGCUGCUAUUGGUUUAUGAUAAGAAGCUCAAAAAUAUUUUGUUUUCCUUUGAAUUAAUGGAUUAUCUAUAUUUGCAUAUGAGCCUUCUAAACUUAUAGCACCACUCAGCCAGAUUAAUUCUUAACUACUGCUUUUCCUUGAUAUAGGACAUGCAUUUGAAGCACGGAUAUAUGCUGAAAAUGUUCCAAGAGGGUUUCUCCCUGCAACAGGAACCUUACAUCACUACCGACCAGUCCCUUCUGAUCCAACAGGUGAAAUAUGGAGAUAUCAUAUGACCAAUUAUAUUAUGAGUUACAUUUCAGUAUUGCACAAUUAACAUAUUCUUGCUCAGUAAGAGUUGAAACUGGAGUCGAAGAAGGAGAUACAGUCAGCAUGCAUUAUGAUCCAAUGAUAGCCAAACUUGUAGUAUGGGGUGAAAGUCGCACUGCUGCACUAGUCAAGCUAAAGAACUGUUUAUCAAACUUUCAGGUAUAAUCAGUUCACCAGAAUCAAUACAUUUCUUUUGAUACAUCUUUUCCCUUCUCUAAGAGGUCAUCAGUACAGUGACACUUUCAUGUUGAUAUAAUUUUAGUUGUCUUAAAGAACUUCACAACUGUAGGCAUAUUAUGUGAGAGUCCAAUUGUGUAAAAUGUCUAUGCUAGUUCAGUUCAAGAAGUGUCACUAAUCUUUAUGCUUUUGCUGAUAUCCUCAUCAUUCCAUAAUCCAUACCGAAGUUAACAUACCCCCUUUUAUGGUGGCUACUAAAGUUUACAUGAGGCCUAAGAAGUGACAAUCUGUUGAUGAUUACCAAUAUUGAUUUUCUAUGCAUAAAUAGUCCAUUGAACUUUGGAAGUGUAGUCGUAUAGAAAUACAAUCUCAAUACUGUCAUUUUGAUAAUAACCUCCCUGACAUGCCUUGGUUAAUGAAUAAACAGAUUGCAGGUUUGCCAACCAAUAUUGGUUUCCUCCAAGAACUCGCAAGCCAUAGUGCCUUUGAAAAAGGCCUAGUUGACACUCACUUCAUUGAACGUUAUAAAGAUGAUCUUUUGAGUAUUUCUACGAAGUCCUCAGAAGAAUCUCAUGGUGUAGCUGUGCUUGGUGCAAUUUUGGCUGCUGCAUGCAUUUGCAAGAAGGAUCACAUUACAUUUAAAGAAUCACAACGUAUGUUAGACCUACCAUUUGUUUUUUUCUUUCAAUAAUAACAUUGCUAAUUUGACCUGGUAAUGACAUAUGCUACGUGUUUUUCAGGAGCCAACAACACACUAUCUGUAUGGUACAAUAAUCCACCUUUCAGGAUGCAUCACUUUGCUAGGCAUCCCCUGGAUCUUGAGUUGGAAGAGAAUGAUGGAUUCAGUGAGAAACUUCUUAAACUGUUCAUUACUCAUAAAUCUGAUGGAAGCUACUUCAUCGAGGUGAUUAUACUAUAUCUAUGCACAUACUAGUUUUCAAGUUUCCACAUACAUUUCCGUAUUUGAACAUGAGCUGUUGGAAUCCAUGUCACAAAAUGCUUACUGCCUAAUAGGCACAAACAAACAUCAUAUGUUUCAUGGUGAAUCUAGCAAACUAAAUUCAUGUGGCCAAUCUGCAUAUGGCCUACAUAGUGAAAAAGAGUAUUUCUAGCAAACCCCACUAUAGAAAUCGGUUUUCACUGUUGGGAUCAGACACAGGAAAGUAUAUAAAUGUGACUGAUGUAUGUGUCCAUCACAUGGCUUCAACCCAGAAGAUUAAUAAUUGGACUUUAGCAAUAUAAUACGCUUCAUCUGUCAGCUGAUAUCUUACUAAUUAUAUUUCUAUCUUGCAGACAGAAGAUGGCACUUCUGGUUUAGAUGUCAAAGUUGAUCACAAGGGUGACCAUGAUUUUCGUGUCGAUGUUUCUGGUCUGCAAACUGAUGUGACUCUAGCAUCUUAUUCGAAGGUUUAACUGAUACUCUGGUCAUAGUUAACUGAGUCAUAGAUAAGCCGUUAUAUCUGUAAUUCCUUCACUAAAUUCCUCACCUCUCUCCUUGCAGGGCAACAGCAAACAUAUACAUGUCUGGCAUGGGAAGCAUCAUCACCAUUACAGACAGACUGUAAGAGCUGAGCAUGCAGUUGAUGAUAGCUCCCAACCUUGUCAUGCUUCUGAAGGGAAGUCACAUCCAAAAGGGAGUGUUCUGGCACCAAUGGCUGGCUUGGUUGUGAAAGUUUUGCUUGAAGAUGGGGCACAGGUGGAGGCAGGGCAGCCUGUCAUGGUUAUGGAAGCAAUGAAGAUGGAGGUCUGGAUAAAUUUUCAUUUUUUUGUUUUUUGAUAAAGGAAGAUUUUAUUAAAUUUCAAGCACGUUACGUUGAGUUGAUACAAGCCUUGAAAAAAAUCCUUCCAUUUGUCAUGGAAAUUUGCUCCUUUUACUCUUUCCAGCAUGUUGUCAAAGCACCUCGUGCCGGAUAUGUAGAUGGCCUGAAGGUUACUGCUGGCCAACAAGUUUUUGACUCCAGUGUCCUUUUCACAAUCAAGGUAUGUAGUGAUUGUUUUUAUAUAAUAUCUUGGAAUCUUACAGUUUGCCUUUUUUUUUGGUCAUAACAAAGCUAGUGCUAAGUUUCAUCAUCAUUAGAGGUAGACCAAUAGCAAUAAAACUUAUUUAAAUGUAUUCAACUUAGAAGAUUAACUAAAAUGAAAGGAAAAAGUGUAAAAGUCAGUAAGUGAUGAAGAUUAGAAUUUUGUGUUAUGCAGCAUAAGCAUCUGCAGCAGUAAAAAAGCACCUUUUGCAUUGAUUUUUCUACCGUUCUUCAAUACUACUCCAUCCAUUCCAAAUUUGGGAUGGAGGGAGUAUAUCUUAGCCAUUUAUAAUGCUUUGAAACAAUAACGGUGUUCAGAGGUGUGCAAUCUCUGGGGAAAGCAAGCAGUAGUAAGAAUGUUAUCUGUAAAGCCUUUUUUUUUUGGUAGUGGAGUUAUUGGUCCAAAUUGACCGUGACGUUUUAUGUAGAGAGCAGGGCACACCUUUCAUCCACAAAUGUUUCACACGUUCCUUAUGUCAGCUUCUCAUGGAUGGAAUCUCUAAAAUUAGAGAGUAUACAAAAGUUAUGUUCCCUUCCAGUCCAGAGUCUAGAACUCAGCUGAAACCCAAAUGCACCUUUUUCCAAUUUUCC